CUCAACAAAAGAAAAAAGAAAGCUUCCAAUCUCAUUUUAUCUCCAUUACUUUCUACACCAAAAUUGGGUCCCACAACCCGGUUCUUUGUCUAGAGGAUAGCAGUUGAGUACUAGUGGUGGUCUCGGUUAGAAUUGGUAAGAAGAUAUCAAACCUUUUGAAAGCUUCAAAGGUAAUAUUUCUUAAAACCCUAAUUUGAUUAGUUUAUGGUUACAUGUUAAUUGUGGCAAUUAGGGUAGAAAUUCGAUUCUUUUUCCGCUGUGCAUGACUUAGUUCUAUCAUGUGGUAUCAGAGCAUGCUUCAUUUUUACCCAAUUGCAUGUGGUGGGUUCAUAUUUAUUAGAUAAAUUUUGGUUUGAACUAAAAUGGAUAUAUUAUGAUUUUGGCUCUAGAUUAAGUGUUUUUGUUCUAAUUAUUGUAAUUAGCCUUGUUAAUGGCUUAUUUUUAUUGUUGCAAAGUGUUUGUAAUUUUUAAAAAAAGAAAAAAAGUCAUUAGAGUUGAAGUUAGGCUGUAACUGGUUCAACCGGGUGAGAGAAUUGAAAAAAAAUGAAGAAAAGAAGGUCACAGACCCGAAAACCCGCCUUGACCCGCUUCGCGACCCGCACGCGCCCGCGCGCCCGCAUGCCCGCACGCCCUCCUGCGCCCGCGCGCCCGCCUGUGUCCGCAUGCGUCUGCGCGCCCGCGUGCCUGCCUUCGCCCGACCCGUGUGCGCCUGGGCCGGUUCAAGCGGUUUCGGUUGGUUUUUCAGCCGGUUCAAAGUUUUUGGGAGUGGUUCUGUACUACACCAAAGUAAUUAUGUAAUAAUUUAGUACUUAGCUUAAUUUAGGAGCCAAAAAUCAGUCCAUUUUAGGGUGUUUUUUUUUAUUUAUGCAUGUGAUGUAUGAUUAAAUUACUUUAAAUUUGUAUGUGCAUUUUGAAUGUCAUAUAGAUUUAAAAUCCCACCAUAGGUUAACAUGUUCAUGCAUUAAAAUGUAUGAUAUAAAGGUUAUAUUGUAUUGUAUGCAUGUUAAUUGAUUAAUAUGGAAAUUAAAAUCCCACCAUAGGUGUUUGCUUUUCAUUCUAGGUCAUAAAGCUUGGGUGUGACGUUUCGGCAUUUUCAUAUGCAAGCCUGCCAGAGCUGAAAAUGUUCAAAAUGUAUUAUAGGGGAGGCAUACCAGUUGAAUCCCCGCUCGAGCAUUAGUUGUACUCUUUGCAAGCAACCCUUUUCGUGGCACGCGUGCGGGGCCUGUGAGCUGUCCUCGAGAGGUGCCUGCCAAUGUUGUGGGCAUAUGUCCUGGUCACCCUUGGGCUGUCUCGGGACCACGUUGGGCUACUCCUGGGCCAUGCUAAAGGAGUCGUGGCACGUAUUGGCGCAAUUUUGCGGGUGAUUUUUGGGGUCAAAGCUUCACAUGUGACAUCAGGCUUACUUCUUUUCAUUUCUUUCUUUUUUCUUCUUCUUUCUUUUUCCCGUUUUAAAUUUUAUCUCUAAACCAAACUCCAACUAACUCUAAUUUAUGUUUAGGAACUUGUAAUUUUGGAGUACAAUAUAAGUAUAAUUGUUUGUGUUAUAUUGUUUUUUUUUUAUUAUUAUUACUAUUAAAAAUAGCCAAAUUAAUUAAAAUAUUUAUAAAGUAUUUUAAAAUUUGAUAUUCGAUAGAUCGAUCAAUGUCACUAAACAUAUAAGGGCUUAUCAAUAUCUAUUAUUAAUAUAAUCUAGUAAAUAUUUUGUCGAAUUUAUUAUUUGUGACAGUUUUUUUCUAUUCUUUUUUACAUAUAUUCAAUAUAUAAAAUAUCAAUUUUUUGAAAAUUUCAUAUAGGAUUAUUAACAAGUUUAACAAAUAGAUAAAAUGAUUUUCAACAUUAUUCUAAUACUAUGCUUUAAAUUAUGUAAGAGAUAAAUCUCUAUAAAUCAUAGAUGAAUUAUUUUAGAAUGGAAAACAAUACAAAAAUGUGAGUGUUGAGCAAGAAAUUUUGACCAAUUAAAUUACGUCACAUCAUCACAGUAAAUAAUGAUGAUUAUACUUUUGUUUGAGUUUGGAUAAUUAAGUUACUCAACCCAACCCAAUUCAGAUCCAACAAAACAAAUGGGCUCAAGCCCAAGUCCAAGAAUCAAAUGGGCCCAAGUCCAAACUCAUCUCGCAAAUGGGCUCAAAUCCAAGCCCAAUAAGCAAAUGACCCCAAUUUCACCUAAAGCCCAUGAAAUGUCUAUAAAUAGAGACCACUGUCAUUCAUUUUAAAAGGGGUCUUUGGUUGAAAGAAGAAUUGAAGCUCUGAAGAAUUGAAGAUUCAAACUUCUACAAGCUCUCAAGACGUGCAAGUUUGUAUCAACUUCGAGAUCAACAACUUCUGAAAGAUUGAAGACUUGGAAAAUUAAACUUUUCUUGGAUUCCAGAAGAUCGAAGUUCAAAUCAACGUGCAACUACAACAUCCUGAAGAUCGAAAAUAAAAAAGUUCUAAGUUUUAACUUGUAUUCGAGAAAAAACAUCAAAAGAGUAAAUACUAGAGGUUGUAUUCACAAUAUUCUUUAAUAUAUAAAGUUCAACUCCACGAAAUACAUUUCUUCAAAAUCUCGUGUGAACAGUUUGACACGUCCAGUGAGACAAUCUCUACCUUUCAUCUCUUUCUCUUUUGAAGAACAUCUAAAGAAAUCAUGUCGAUUGACGAACAAAUGACAUCGGCAAGCAGCCAAAUACUCACAGCCGCUCAAGGGAGACUCAAUCAUCUGAGGAAAUGCCAUCCUUUGAGGCCGCAAAGAACAUUUGGGAGCAACUGUCCAAGCCACCAAAAGGUGGAAUUAUAGUCGAAGAAAAUCCUGUGAUUGACGAACAAAUUUCCUCCUGUGAACGCUCGAAUGAGAAGAUGCCUCAUCCAAAUAUCAUGUCGAUUAUGGUGACUGACGUGGAUACAAGUGAAGACAUAAUGACUGAGCUUAAAAAGAAGAUCAACAGGCUCAUGAAGGUCGUUGAAGAAAAGGAUAAUGAGAUUGCAUCUCUCAAGAAUCACAUCGAACGUCAUGAUGCUGAAUCAAGUCAUACACAUACUAUCAAAAAUACUGACAAAAGGAAGACAAUUAUGCAAGAAAGUCAACCACAAAAUUCAACCUCAAUUGCAUCAAUAUCUAUUCAGCAAUUGCAGGAGAUGAUUGCAAACUCCAUCAAAACUCAAUAUGAUGGACUUGCUCAAACUCUCUCUCUAUAUUCCAAACCAUAUACGAAGAGGAUCGACAAUCUCAUAAUGCCGAAUGGAUACCAACCACCCAAGUUCCAACAGUUUGAUGGAAAGGGUAACCCAAGACAACACGUUGCUCACUUCAUUGAAACAUGUGAAACUCCUAGUACGAGAGGAGAUUUGUUGAUAAAGCAGUUCGUUCGAACUCUGAAAGGAAACGCCUUCAAAUGGUACAUCGACCUGGAACAUGAAUCCAUUGAUAGUUGGGAGUAACUUGAGGGGGACUUUCUCAAUCGCUUUUACAGCACCCAGCGUAUCGUCAGCAUGAUGGAGUUGACAAAUAGCAAAUAGCGAAAGAGGGAGCCAGUCAUCAACUACAUAAACCGAUGGAGAGCUCUAAGCCUGGAUUGCAAAGACAAGCUCAUAGAAAUGUCUGUAGUCGAGAUGUGCACCCAAGGCAUGCAUUGGGAACUUCUCUAUAUUUUGCAGGGGAUAAAACCACGCACGUUUGAAGAGUUGGCGACUCGUGCCCAUGAUAUGGAACUAAGUAUCACUCGUAGAGGAGCAAAAGAUUUUUUGGUUCAAAAAAUGAGGAGUGACAAGAAUUAAAUUGAUGACACUAAAAAGAUUACAGAUAGUGUCAUAAAUGAGUCUAUGGUUGUUCAUGCAACCCCUUUGAAAUCUUUCUCUAAAAGAAAAGAAACAAAAUUUGAAGGAAAGCAUGAUAGAGAGGAAAAGCGACGCCCUUAAAGAAAGACAAGAAAAUUUUUAUCCAUUUCCUGACUCUGAUGUUGCAGACAUGUUAGAGCAGCUGUUAGAGAAGCAACUUAUUCAACUGCCAGAAUGCAAACGACCGAAACAAGCAGAGAAAGUAGAUGAUCCUAACUACUGCAAGUACCAUCGGGUCAUUAGUCAUCCUGUUGGAAAGUGUUUCGUGUUGAAGGAGCUGAUUAUAAAGUUGGCUCGUGAAAAGAAGAUCGAGUUAGAUAUGGAUGAAGUAGCUCAGACAAAUCAUGUUGCAAUUGAGAUGACUUCAAGUGUUCCGCCAUCAACACACCUUUAUGAUUAAUGGAAAAACUUGGUCCAGUUUGGGACUUUUGAACCUGUACAUGUUCGAUUCCAACAAAGGAUCGUGACAAAGAAAUCUCAAAACAAAGAAAAGCCUAUUGAAGAUGAUUGCGAAGGAUGGAUAGUCAUGACUCGUAAAAAGGGGAGACAAUCAAUUUUCGUACAAACGAAGUCGCACUUCCAUCAGAAGCAUGGAAAAGGAAGCAACUCUCGUAAAAAUGAGAAAAGAAAUAAGAUGUGGAAGUCUAAGCCUAUCAAAGGAAAAGACGAGGACUUCAUCCGACAUCGACGGUCGAUAACUUUGAAAGAAUUUCUCCCAAGAAGCUUCCUUGAUGAUCAUCCAAAGAAAGUAUUAGAAGUCCUUGCAUGUCAUGUUGUCAGUAUAACAGAAGUCGACAACAAUUAUGCAUCUUCUGAAGAAAUCGACAAUUCAAAUGAAAUUAAGCAAAGGACUUUUGUCUUUGAUCGUAUCAAGCCUUCAAUUACUCAAUCUUCAAUUUUUCAAAGAUUGAGUAUGACCAUGAAAGAAGAAGAAAACCAAUGUUUAACAUCUACUUCCACUCAAACUUUAGCUUUCAAAAGGCUAAGUAUCUCCACAUCAAAGAAAUAUCAACCUUCAACAUCUGUUUUUGAUAGACUAAAAUGACAAGUGAUCAACAUGAAAAAGAGAUGAAAACUUUGAAGGUAAAAUCACUUCAUGAAGAAAAUAAUGGCGAAGAUACGCAGUUGUGUCUCAUCACGCAUGAAGAGGAAGUUAUUUGUUGACAUAAACACAGAAGGUCCCUUGAUCGUGAAGCCAAAAAUUAUUAUAUUCACCAAUUCUACAAAUGAAGAAGGUGAACAAAUUUUUUACGAAAAUAUUUGUUAAAUGUGUAAAGCUCCUUAUCGCAAAAGCCUAAAUUGCAUGAUGCUCUUAGUCCACAAGAGCUUAAAAGGUGAAUAACAAAAAAAAAAAAAAAAAAACAACAACUCAAUUGAACUACGUUAUGACUUGAUCUCUGUGUUAUAAAAAGGAUACGUAGGCAGCUUAAAGAUUACUUUAAGUUCAGUCGCACGAAAAAAAAAAAUUAUGCUUCAUCGUGAUGAUGUAAUCUCAAUAGAAAAUGAAAUUCAUGAACAGUUACAACAGAAAAGAAAUGGGACAAAUGGGGCAAAGUCAAAGUAGCGAGCUCUACCUUUUCUCGCAAGUGUUGCAGCUGAAAAGAUAUUCAUCUUCAUCUUCUCUCAAGUGUUGCAGCUGAAAGGAUCUUUAUCUUCACCUUCUCCAUGUGUUGCAGCCGAGAGGAUUCAUCUUCACCUUCUCCAUGUGUUGCAGUCGGAAGGAUUUAUCUUCAUCUUCUCCAUGUGUUGCAGCCGAGAGGAUUCAUCUUCAUCUUUUCCAUGUGUUGCAGCCGAGAGGAUUCCUCUUCUCCCACGUAUUACAGCCGAGAGGAUUCAUUUUCAUCUUCUCCCACGUGUUAUAGUCAAAAGGAUUCAUCUUCAUCUUCAUCUUCUCCCACGUGCUGUAGCCAAAAGGAUUCAUCAUCAUCUUCUUCCACGUGUUGCAGACGAGAAGAUCAUCAUUUUCAUCUCCUAGGUGUUGCAGUCGUUAUCAUCUGCAUCCUCGAUGUGUUGCAACCGUCAUCAUCUACAUCUCUGAUGUGUCACUGCCGACAUCAUCUGCAUCUUCGAUAUGUCGCUGUUGUCACCAUCUGCAUCUUCGACGUGUCGCAACCAUUACCAUCUGCAUCUUCGACGUGUCGCAGUCGUCAGAAUCUCCAUCUGCAUGUGUUGCAGUCAUCAUCAUCUGCAUCUCUGAUGUGUUGCAACCGUCAUCAUCUGCAUCUUCAAUGUGUUGCAGGCGUCAUCAUCUGUAUCUUCGAUGUGGCUGUCACCAUCAGAAUCUUCGACGUGUCGCAGCCGUUAGAAUCUUCAUCUCCAUGUAUUGCAGUCAUCACCAUCUGCAUCUUUGAUGUGUUGCAGUUGUCAUCAUCUGCAUCUUCGAUGUGGCCGUCAUUAUCUUCGAUGUGUCGCAGCCGUCACCAUCUACAUUUUCGAUGUGUCGCAGCCAUCAGAAUCUCCAUCUCCAUGUGUUACAGUCAUCAUCAUCUGCAUCUCUGAUGUGUCGCAGCCAUCAUCAUCUGCAUCUUCGAUGCGGUCGUCAUCAUCUUUGAUGUGCCGCAGUCGUCACCAUCUGCAUCUUCGACGUGUCGCAGUCAUCAAAAUCUCCAUCUCCAUCUUCGAUGUACGAAUUUUCAUCUCCAUCUUCGUCUUCCAUGUGCUCCAGUUGGUCGAAUCUCCAUCUCCAUUUUCGUCUUCGAUGUGUCGCAGUCAAUUGGAUCUCCAUCUUCGAUGUGUUGCAGCCGAUCGGAUCUCCAUCUCCAUCUUCGAUAUGUGGAUCUUCAUCUCCAUCUCGGUCUUUCAUGUGCUGCCGUCGGUCGAAUCUCCAUCUCCAUUUCUGUCUUUGAUGUGCCGCAGUCGAUUGGAUCUAUAUUUACAUUUUUGUCUUCGGUGUGUUGCAGUCGAUCAGAUCUCCAUCUCCAUUUUCGUCUUCGAUGUGUCGCAGCCGAUCGGAUCUCCAUCUCUAUUUUCGUCUUCGAUGUGUUACAGCCGAUCGGAUCUCCAUCUCCAUUUUUGUCUUCGAUCAAGCUUGGUGUGCUCCACCAUAUAAAUUGACCAAACUUCGUAUAACAUUUUAAUCACACUUAUGUCCAAAUGCAUAGUAUGAUUAAAUUGACAUAUUAACUAGAACCAAAUCCAAGAACAAAUUCACUUAUUUCAGCUUAUCGUUUUCAAGAUUCACCCAUCAUAUAAACGUGCACAAAUCUCUAAAAGGAGACAUUUGUUGAGCAAGAAAUUUUGACCAAUUAAAUUACGCCACAUCAUCACAAUAAAUAUGAUGAUGAUUAUACUUUUGUUUGAGUUUGGAUAAUUAAGUUUACUCAACCCAACUCAAUUCAUAUCCAACAGAAAAAAUGGGCUCAAGCCCAAGUCGAAUAAGCAGAUGGGCCCAAGUUCAAACUCAACUCACAAAUGGGCUCAAGUCCAAGCCCAACAAUCAAAUGGGCCCAAGUCCAAGUCUAGCAAGCAAAUGAGCCCAAGUUCACCUAAAGCCCAUGAAAUUUCUCUAUAAAUAGAGACCAUUGCCAUUCAUUUUAAAAGGGGUCUUUGGUUGAAUAAAGAAUUGAACCUCUGAAGUACUGAAGAAUUGAAGAUUCAAACUUCUACAAGCUCUCAAGACGUCAAAGUUCAUAUCAACCUGGAGAUCAACAACUUCUGAAAGUUGGAAGAUUAAACUUUCCUUGGGUUCCAUAAGAUCGAAGUUCAAAUCAACUUGCAACUACAAUAUCCUAAAGAUCGAAGAUCAAAAAGUUAUAAGUUUUAACUUGUAUUCGAGAGAAAGCAUCAAAUGAGUAAAUACUAGAGGUUGUAUGCACAAUAUUCAUCAAUAUAUAAAGUUCAAUUCCACGAAAUACAUUUAUUCGAAAUCUCGUGUGAACAGUGAGAAUAUGGUUAACCAAGUUUAAAUAUAUAAUGCAACAAUACAAACGUAGUGACCAUAAUCACAAAAUUUAAACCGAACUCAAACAACACAUGAACAUAAAAUAAAAAGCAACAUACCAACAUUGUUUACUAUCGAAUAAUAGUCCAAAUCAAGUCAUGGAUUGGUCAAACAUUAUCUUUAGGAGAAUAUUACAAAGAAAAAAAAGUAUGAAAAAGUGCAUUUUAUAAAAUAUUAUUAUAACUAAACUAAAAGUAUUUUCUUGAAUAACCUAAAAAAUCUCAUUUUUGUUUAACAUUUUUUCUAAAAACUUCUUAAAAUAAAAACACAAUCGUGUUUUAAAAUAUAUAUUUUAAAAAAUAUUUAUACGUACAAAUUUCUUUUGUUUGUUAUAUAUACUAAAAAAUAUUUUUAUAAAAAAUCUUCAAGACUAAUCGAUGACAACGGUCGUCGAAGUUGAUUAUCGGAAGUUCGUCGAUGGAGUCACUAGAGAUGAUGGUGGGAGAUUGGCCGACCAUGAUCAUUGAAGAUUAGCCUAAACCCAAAAGAUAAAUAAUUUUUUUGUAAUAAAAGUAAACUAACAUUUGACUGAACAAUUUUCUCUAUUCCUUUUGACUUCUUUUGGAUUUUUUUUCUUUUUCAAAAUAAGAAUGGUCACUUUGAUUCUCAAUUUUGUCGGAUUAUAAUAAUUUAUACUCAAACACAUAAUAUAAUAACUCGUACUAUAAUAAUUUACACAUAAACACAAAUUAUAAUAACUAAUAUUAUAAUAUUAUGUACCCUAAACACGACUAUAACAACUUAAACUAUAAUACUAUGCACCAAACUUCUCCUAAAAGAAUUUGUUUAUAUGAAUAUGAUGUCUCUCUAAAGAUGAAGAAACAAUUUAUUUAUAGAGAGUGAUAUUGCAAAAAGUUAGUGAAACUUAGGAGUGAGCAUUGACUUUAAAAAAAUCAAUUCAAACAAUCGAAAUUAACCAAAUCUAUUUAUUAUUUAAUAUUAAAUAAAACAAACCGCUCAUAGUAAUUGUCUCGUUCCUAGAUUUGGUCGAUUUCCUAAACCUUAAGUCUAUAUUUUCAUUCUAUAGGUUUUGUUUACGGCACUCGGGUGAAAAAAUGGCGCCCAAGGGAAAGAAAACCAAUAGCCCUACUAGCGACAGCGACGAGGACGAAACCUUCUAUUACCGGUAUCCCUCCGCCCCCUCUUCUGACCCGUCGCUGCCGUCGUCUUCACAGUCGCACUUCUCAUCGCAAUCGCACUCACACUCACACUCUUCCACUAAGUCUGGCGGUGGUUCUGGAGGUUUGGUUCCUUCGAAGUCUACUCUCUAUGUUUCCAAUUUCGACUAUUCACUCACUAAUUCCGACCUCCACACUCUCUUCUCCAACUUUGGUAAGAUCGCUCGUGUUACGGUGUUGAAAGAUCGACAGACUCGCAAGUCUCGCGGCGUUGCCUUCGUCCAGUUUAUUUCUCAGGAUGACGCGGUGAAGGCCGCGAAACAGAUGCACGGGAAGAUUUUGAAUGGCCGUGUUCUUAAGGCUGCUAUAGCGACUGAUAAUGGUCGUGCCGCUGAGUUUAUAAGGAAGAGGGUUUAUAAGGAUAAGAGUAGGUGCUACGAGUGCGGCGCAAUUGAUGGGCAUUUGUCUUAUGAAUGCCCUAAAAAUCAAUUGGGGCCAAGGGAGCGACCAGAACCGAAGCGGGUAAGAAGGGGUGGAGUUGGUGCUAGGCACGAGGAGGAUUGGGGAUCGGAUGUUGGAGAAGGGUUUGAGGAUGACAAUUGGGCCUCGGUGGUGGACGGAGAUGCAGACCAGAGACUCCUGACUGGCGGUGAGAACAUUGUAGAGAAGAAAAAAGAGAAGAAAGCAAGUUAUUUCAGUGACGAGAGCGACGAAGAUGAUUAACUGAGCCUGUCUCUUUGGGAAGAGUUUGUAAAAGGUGCGUGGUUUUUACUAUUGUAUUGUUUUUAUCUGCCGUUCCAUUAUAUUUUGAACCUCUAUUUCUGGUUGAUUUUGGUGCAUGAUUUUUGGGUGGCAUUGUUAGAUGAGAUAAAGCUUACAGAGUUUAGAUUUUGGGCUGCCGGGUGCGAUAAGUAAUAAUGAGUUACAGGUAUGUAGUCUACACUUCGUGGUAAUGUCAGGAGUAGUCAGGAUUGGAAUACUAACUCUUAACCUAUGGCACUUGCUCUCCACCAAUAGGUUAGUAAUUGAAACUAGAAAUGUUAUGUUGAAUUCAAAGACUCUCUUUGGAGAGCUGAAAUGUAUGAGUUUAAUUACAAAUCGGCUCUAAAACGCUGAAUCCAACCAUUGGUUAUUGAUUACAUUACAUUACAAUCUCAUCCGAUGACGGUCUACCGAAUACCCCAAGGAUUUAGGCACCGCUGUUAACAGUAUAUGAGCACUACACUGGAAUUUGGAAGUGGUAAUAAAUACUCAUCUUCCAAUGCCUCCUGUUUUCUUUUAAGAGUUAAGGAUUUCUGCAGUCAGAGAGUAUAAGUUGCUUAUUCAAUCUCAUGAGCAUGAGCAAUAUUUGUAUUUUUGUACAUUUUGGAAUUCCCAUAUCAUGAUCUCGGCGUUUAAUGCCAAGGGCUUGAUUUCCCAAUGUGCCAAGACUUGUCCAAAGGAUUCUUUGAUCAAACAUUAUUGUUAUUAUUAUUCUUUUUGAGGAGACAUUUCUUUUAUCAGAAACAUAUAAAUAAUUUCAUUGAUGGGAUGAAAUUACAAAAGAGCACAUAUGCUGCGAGAGAUUACAAAGAUUAUUCCAUUGUGAUAUAAGAGAAGUAAGAUUGUAAUAAUGAAAGUGUGGGGUGAAUUUACACCAAGUGAAGGUUGUAUACAAAAGAUGAUCGAAAAGUGAGUGAAGUCGGAUUCCUUAUCUUUGAAAGUACGAUGGUGGCAUUUGUUUCAGAUGAGCCAAAAGAGAACUCUUCACUAAGAUUAGAUGAAAAGCAAGGGUGGGGAACUCCAGAAAACCCAAGGGACUUGGGAGAAAAAUCAAUCCAAUGACAUCAAUCGAUAAUGAGAGUGAAGUCAUUACUUAAACCUUUAAAGUGGAUACACGUUCACCAAUUUUAAGGUUCAUACCUUGUGGUUUGGAUCAGUGUUAGGUGGUCUGCUCUCUUCUAGUUAGCAUCAUAGUUCAACAUUUUAACCUAAUAUAUUGUAAUCCUCUUCUUCCUACUGACUAUUUGUCCAUUUAGGCACAUUUUCUAAUAAUUUUGCUUUUAGUUUUGUUUGUUUUCUUCUGUUCAAAGACUAGGAAAGAAAAAGUAGUUUUCAAGAACAUUUUUAUCAAUUGUUCAAAGAAGUUUAGUCAUAAGUAAUUUUCAUAAGCAUAAUUUUGUGAAACAAAAUUGUUGCCAAAUAGAGGCUUAAGUUUUUUUAGCUUUCAACUUGACUUUGUGAUCAAUCUCUUCAUGUUUGAAAGAAGAAGGCAUUUGCCACAUUUUAGCGAAGAAGGCAUUUGCCACAUUUUAGCUUUCUCCCCUUUACCACUUUGUUUUAGUGGAGCUACGUGAGGAAAAGGUGCCAUGUCUCUGAACUAUUUUGAUUUAUCAUUCAUAUAAUUUCUUACUUCUAAAUCUCUGAUGUACCGCAAAAAAUAUUGCUAAUAUAUUUGAAUCUAUCUAUUCUAUAACUUAUAUUCUUGCACUUUCAAUGCUUUGAUCAUAGUCACAAGAUGUGUGUGGAAACAACAAAAUGCAACCUUAAACAUAUUGGGUUAAAGAAAUAUUCGAUAUCACUGAUUUCAACUUUUGAUUAUCACUGAUUCAUCUAUAAUUUUGGCUGGAUCCAUGAUCUUCCUAACUCAUAGUAGUAUAUGUUUAUCAUAACCAAUACGUCUUACUGUCGUUACAACAUCUUUGUGGGUUUUUGUUAUUGUUUUGCUUUGUUUUAGCUGUUGGUUUAUUUGACUAGUGACUUACAUGAGAUUUAGUCUACCUUGACAUUUCUCAUAACACGACCCGUCCUUGUCUUCUGAGCUAAGAGGAUCAGGCUUAGUCAAGUCUACCGUCACAUUUCAAUUUAAUGAUCUAUUAUGUUUGAUUUUUCGUGAAUUUGUGUUACUUAAUAUGAUCUAUUUUGUUUCUCGCUUAUCAAAUAAUUGGAAUCAAGAGGAGAUUUGUUUAACAUUUGAUGAGAAUGGUGAUGCGUUAAAGAUUCGAUUUUAUUGCCAAGUGUCUUCGUGAGAUUAUGUCUUUCGGUAGUGUUGAAAGAGCUACUGUUUCUAAUUUUGGUUCAUUUCUUGUUAUGGGAGAUUGGUUUAAGAUAUGGAAUAAAUGUAGUUCAUUUCAGGGUAAUGAUGUUGCAAAGCUUUUUAAUAUUCCUUCACACAACCAUGGUUCCCUGUAUUCAGUCACCUUUAUUUUCUUGUGGCAGGCUACAUUAAGAUAUAUCAAGGUUGGAGACCAAAGUUGAGAGGCUAAAGUCGGUAGUACAAGUUAAAGAUAGGGAGAUUGCAACAGUUACACGAAUAGUACAAUCUCGAGACUUGUCUAAAUUCCAUGAUUUCUCUCUAUUUAACAUUGAACAAGGAAGUUCUUUUCCACAGGAAGCCAAAGGUAAGGCUGCUUUUAAAGCUCAAAUUGACAAGCUACAGUAGGAAAAUGUUGAACUCCAGAGAAGGGUUAUUGGCAAUCAGGUUAUGGUAGUUGGAUGCUGUGAGAUAGAUACUAGUUUCUAUGUAAUAAUUUUAGUACUAAUGUUGUUUUCUGUUUGUGUGCAAAGCAAGUAAGAACUCAACAAAUACAUGAGAUGAAGAAGAAAGAAAAGGAGUACAUCAAAUUGCAGGUGAGAACCUACAGGGUAUAGGAAUACCUACAGGAAAGCUGGAUAUGUAUGUUGCUGCUGCUGGCAUAAACCCUCAAAGAGUAUGUUUUUCUUAGACAAGCUCAACGCCCUCCCUUCAUCCAAUGGUUGUUUAUCCAACUUGAUUUCAAUCAGUUGUGGCUAUUGUUUUAAUUGUUUAUAGGAUUGCCUGCAUUCAGAUUGUUUUAUCUUCUCAUGUUGGGCUACUUCCAAGAAAUUUUUUAAGCGAAGGGUGGAUAAUAGCUCGCUUGUUUAGUCUAAACUUGGGGGAUUUCAAAUUUUGCCCAAAUUUCAAAAUUUUUCAAAAGUUUUUCAUUACAAUAACGAGCAUCAUAACUUCUUAGAUCUUGCAUAAAAGGCAUGACUGUCAACCCUUGAGCACUAAGCUCGGGUUUGUGACGUGAGAUUCUGAAUUUUGAGAAUAAGCUUAUGUCCUUUUUGUUUUUGCUAAGUUUCAACUAAUACACUCGGUAUUUAUCUUUGUGCUUAUGUGAUAGAUUUGUUAUGCACUGUAGUGAUGUGGGGUGUUUCCUUAUUUUCUGCAUCUUAACUACCUUAUUUCCUGCAUUUUAACUAUCUUAUUUCCUGCAUCUUAAAUACCUUAUUUUCUGCAUCUUAAAUACCUUAUUUUCUGAAUCUUAGUUGGUACUGAAAUUUGGUUUGUUUCAGUGAAAGAGGCACUAUCAGCAUUGACAUGUACAUGUGAUUUUAGGCAUGAACCAGGAGAGUGAGAGUUUUAGUGUGCCGUGUUUAGAAUUUGCCGAUAUCUUUUUCCCGUUCCAGCAAGUAUUCCUGAUUGUGGGGGUAACUCUCAAGUCUGCAGUCUUUUCUUCAUGAAAUUUGUAGAUUAUCUAAGAAUACUAAUAUCAUUUAAUGUUGACAUUUUUUUAGCAACUUUUCUUAACCCCACUUUUUGAAUUUCAUUAAGUUUACUCUUGUUUAAUUGACAGAUUCUUCCAGUAAUGCUAGAUAUUGGUACUAACAACGAGAAGUUACUUAAUGAUUCUCUUUGUAAGUGAAAGGGAAACCUUCAUGUCGUUUAUCUCCAUAUUUUCCAUGUAAUGUAUUGUGCUUAUAUUGAUCUGUUUCUGUUGUCAAUGGCGAUAUAUUUGGGUUUUUUGUUGUUGUUGUGGUGGUGGUGGUGAAAUAUUUUAUUUAAGUCUCUAGUUAAUAUUUAUGCUUACUUAACAGAAAAUUUGUUGCUUGAGCUUGCUUCAUUUGGUUCUUUUACUUGUUUAAGUCCUCCUCUAACUAAUUAUACAUUUCGUCCUUUUACUUGUUUAAGUCCUCCAAAAAGUAUUCAUUACUUUAAUAAAUUCCCUCACCAGCAUCAUCACCUCUUAUUCAACAAACUGUUUUUUCCCAAAAGCAAAAAAGGAAAAAAAAAAAAAAGAUAAAGACAAUCAAGAACAACCAUCAACUACAUGAAAAAAAAAAGAGAAGAAAAAGAUAGCUACCGAAAAACAUUACUACCCAUUUUCAUUAUCAUCAUCCUCUACUAUGCUUUUCCACCUUCUUCUAACCCAUUUUUCCAUUGCAGGAUUUAUUGGAGUUGAGGAGUCCCACAAUCUUUAUGUUCUGUUUGUUUUUCCAUCACUUUUUCAAGGCUGUUCAAUUGGAGUUCCAUCUUCAGGUAAUAUUAAUGUGUUUGUUUCUAAGAUAAUUUUGUUAAACACUUGUUUUUGUUGUCCCCAUCCACCAGCUGUUUGGUGAAAUGCCGCAUUGAAUAAUUUUGUGGGUUCUUGGGAAGCGUGUGAUCUAUGUGUUGUGGAAUUUGUAUAAUUAGUUAGAGUGAUUUAGGAAAACUUUUGUAUUUGUAGUUGAAUAGAUAAUUCAUUCCAUAUUUAGAGCAUGAUUAAGAGUUAUUUUGAAAUUGUUAAAAUUACUUCAAAAGAUAUUUGGAUAAUUUAAAUGACUUUCUAUUGUAUGUUGAUCACGUUUGAUAGAUCGAAAACUUUUCUUCUUCUUCUUCUUCUUUGUUUCUUCCUGCUGCCUAUUUGACCUGCAACUUUGAGUGUAGUUGCUUGGCUGUCUAAUUGCCACCACUCAAAGUCACUCCUUCGCCUUCUUAUCACUCUUAAUUUUCUUGACAACAAAGUCAAACUGCUACAGAACAAUCGAAUUUUCGUUUGAUUAAUUUUCUAUCCACAGGAGGCUUUUGUAUGUUGAUCACCCUUGUUUUCUUUGAAAAGUUUAAAAUUCCAUACACGAUAUAUUGGGAAACUUUCACAUUUCUCGGGACAUUAAAAGCUCAAGAGCAUUGAUUUUGAGCAAAAUAAAAAUGAAAAUCCCUUUUAAUUUCCGGCAACACCAUAUUUGAAGUUCAUUGUAUUUUCUUCUUCCAACUACAGGUUGACGUGAUUGUCUUGACAGAUGGAAGUCGUAUUCUUGGCCUCGGUGACCUUGGAGUUCAGGGAAUAGGAAUACCUAGAUUGGAGGGAGAAGAGUAUCUAUCUAUUGUUGAUGAAUUUAUGGAAGUCGUGGAUACAUGUUGGCCUAAAGCUAUUGUUCAGGUUUAUUGGUUAAGAUAUCAAAUUUUUAACUGUGUUCACUGCCAGUAAUCAGUAUCGUAAUCUCGCAAUUUGAUUUUGAAUGAUGCCAGUUUGAGGACUUUCAAAUGAAAUGGGCUUUUGAAACAUUACAACGUUAUCGUAAGAGGUUCUGCAUGUUCAACGAUGACAUACAAGUGAGUAGUUCAUGUUGUAUUCAUGCAGUUGAUAAUUACUUAAAAGGACAUUCAUUUUCGUUUAUUUCAUUUCAUAAAGGGAACUGCUGGUGUUGCUCUCGCUGGACUAUUGGGAAAUGUGAGAGCUCAAGGGCAGCCAUUGAGUGAUUUUGUUAACCAAAAGAUAGUAGUGGUAGGGGCUGGAAGGUAUUGUCAGCUGUUUAACUUUAACAUUUUCUCCAAAUAGCAAUACUGCUAACUAUUUAGGGAUCGUAAGCCUUGUCCUCUUUGUUGAAACAAAAGUGGUUGUUUGAAUGAGGAAUUACUAUUACUAUUACUAUUACGUGAAUAUAAGAGAAAUGAAAACUUUGGAAACUAUAGUUCAAUCCUUUUGGUUUAACCUUCAUUUGUUUCAACAUGCUGUUUUUUCUCCUCUUUCAACUUCAGUGUUGGGCUCGGUGUUCUUAACAUGGCUAUUCAGGCUGUUUUGAGAAUGGUAGGGAACAACGAUUCUACUGCAAGAAAUCGAUUUUUUUUCUAAUAGACAAAGAUGUAAGAAUCUUUUUCAAACUUUCAUUUCUCAAUUUAUGCAUCAGUCUGUCCAAGUUUUUCCUUCCAUGAGAGUUACUGAUUUCAGAAACCAAUCGGAUGGGGUUUGGAAUUUGGGUAGCUUUAUUAUGGGUUAAUUUGUAUGACGCAGUUUCGUGUGAAAAGUAUGAGGCAGUUGAAGAAGUUAAAUGACUUGUGGUGGUAGUAAUCAGUGUCAAACUCAUGUGGUUUUUAACUUACAAAGAAAGAGGAAAAAUAUCAACUUAGUCCGAUGCAGAUUAGGGUUUUAAGUCUUCUAUCUAAUUGUUUGUGUGAUAAAUGCAGUUACUUUAUCAAAAACAAAGAAGAAAAGGAAGGGACCACAAGAUUCUUUAGUAUUUUAAUUUUAUUGCAUUACAUUAUAUUCAAUCUUCAUUUUUCUUGGUUGUGCUGCAAAUGGUGUUUCUUCUAUUAUGGAUUUGCAUUAUACAACAUUGCCAUAUUAAGUCAUAAAGUUAUGAAAAUUAGAAACACACCCUUUGUAGGAGAGAACAUGAUCCUUCCUUUGAAGUAAAUUGAGAGAAUUUCCUCUACUGCCUCAAUUUUAAGGCUUGAGGUUUGAAGAACAAGGAUGAAUAAUCAACGAAAAAGGAAUGAAGAGGUUUCUCGUUUAGGGAAAAUAGCGAUUUUUCGUUUUUCAUACUUCCAAAACGACACAAGUAUGAACUUAUUGUGUAUUAAAUUGAUCGAGAGGCCUUCCAAUUGUUUGUUAAUCUAUAGUUUCUGUCUCUAUUUUAAUUAACUGCUACAUGUAGAAGCCUAACUAACUUAGUUAGAGUUCUAUCAAAAAAAGGAAAGAAAAAAAGGAAGAAGAAAGAUCAUGUGAUAAAUUUAUAGAAAUGCCAUGCAAUUAUUUUCUAACUAUUAAUUUAUGUUUCUGUGGUAAAUUACUGCUACUAGAAAUCUAAUUGUGUUCGGUUAGUUAGACUUCAUGGGUUUGAUUUUUUUUUUUUUUUUUGUUAAAGAGGUUCCAUAAGUAUACCGAUGGUUUUGAAAUUUUGAUUUGAUGCAUGUCUGAGAAAUUUCAAGGCUAAAUUAUACAGAAUACCCAUAAACUUUGUACUUUAUAUAAAAAUACCAUUGAAAAUACACCCAAAACAUAAACUACCAAAAGUGUUAAAAAUACAGUUAAUAUAAUUAUCCUAAUUUUAGUAAUAAAUGAAAUUGAGAGAACUUUCUUUGAUUUUCAGGAACAAGGAUGAAUAAUCAAUGAAAAAGGAAUGAAGAGGUUUAUCCAUGCAAGCUUCAAACCAAAGCCAAGGAUGUCGAUCCUUCCAGGGGAGUCCAAAGUUCUCCCUUAUUUUUCUCCCUUUAUUUUGAUUUUCAAAAGUUUGCAAUUUUUUAAGUGGGGGUGGGCAAUUGCUUGCAUGUUUAGUCUAAACUUGGAGGUUCAAAUUUUGCCCAAAUUUCAAAAUUUCUAAAAAAAAUUUCCUUACAAUAAUGAGCACUAUACCUUCUUAGAUUACUUAGAUCUUGCAUAAAAAGCAUGACUAGCAACCCUUGAUCACUGAGCUUGGGUUUGUGAUGUAAAAUUCUGAAUGUUGAUGAGUAUAUGUGCUGAAAUUUGAGAAUAAGCUGCCAGUGUUUUUUGGUUUAAGCCCAUUUUUAGCGAUAUCUUAUGGAGAUGUGAAUGCAUGAUUGAGAAAAUGGUACGUGUGUUGUGAAUGCUUGAUUGCAUGCAUAUAAUAAAUAAGUGCAUGGAUACUUUUCUAGCUUUGUCUUCCUUUGUUUCUUUGCCAUGACUUACCUAUGAUGCGCUUAGUCCAAACCUAGCCUAGAUAGAGUUAAAAAAGGAUAGGAGGUACUCUUUAGAAAUUGAGAUGGUUUUAACAAAUUUGUCUUGUCAAACAUGAGUUUGGAGCCUCUUGUCUAGCCACAAUGAACUAAAUCCCUUUAGAAAGGGUGGGCAUUAACAAAUCUUGUUGUCACUUCGAAGGGAGCAGUCAAACUUAGAAACUAAGUGUAGAACCAUAGAAAGGUUACCCCAUCGGUUAUUGUGUGCGUACCAAAGAAAGAAAAGAGAGACUUGCAAAUGUAAAACUUAAGACAGCGAGACAAUUAAGAGCUAAAAAAAACAAAGAACAUAUGCAUUAUACAUCAGAAAAAUCCCAUAAAAAAAUGAAGGGAAACUUCACUUUUGGCCUAACCAAAAGCAGACCACCUACUCUUAGCGUUCUAGACAUAGCAUUGAGUUUGAUGAGGGCUUUGAAAAUAGGAGGAAUCCUCCCCGUUCCACACUAGGGGAAAAACGAGACUUGUCACUCCGAAGGGAGCAGUCAAACUUAGCAUUGAGUUCAAGGUAUCCUUCUUAGAUUCUUGAAUCAUGACUACAUUAGGACUACAAUAGUUGAUGAAUUUUUUAAGUGCACGUUUAGAGGGGUCGUUCAAACUCCUAGUGCUCCAGGAGACAACCUUCAUAAUGACUGGGAGGAGGAAAAGGCAGUUGCACAUCUAAUUUAAGCCAUAAUGAUUCCACAAUCACCGACUAUAGACACUAAAUCAUUAGGCAAAUCCAGGGGAAUUUUAAUAGGGAGAAUAUCUUCAUCAUUGAACAAGACAUUCAGAUCCAUCCCAUUAAUUUCUUGGACUAAUUUAGGGUCAACUUCAGUGUUGGGGACUGCCAAUUUAACUGAUCUCCACAGUAAGUUGAUUAAGUUGGGGAACACGAGACAAGGCAUCUGCUGCUUUGUUUUCUAGUCCCGGUUUAUACACGACAUCAAAAUUGUAGCCAAGAAGCCUAGCAAUCCACCUCUGAUGUCGAGGUUGGAUAACCCUUUGUUCCAAUAAAAGUUUCAAUGAUCGUUGAUCAAUUUUCACUACAAACCUCCUGCCCAAAAGAUAAGGUCUACAACAUUGCACAGCCAAAACUACAGCCAUAAAUUCCCGUUCAUAAACUGGUUUAGCACGACCCCUCAUAGCUAAUGUCAGGCUAAAAUAAGCAAUUGGCCGAUGAUUUUGAAUUAAGACAGCAUCUACCCCGUAUCCAGAAGCAUCGGUCUCUAUUUCAAAUGGUAAGGAAAAAUCUGGCAGUGCUAAGAUUGGGAGAGUCAUCAUAGCCAUCUUUAAAUUCUCAAAAGUUUCAGCAGCUACAACAGUCCAUUCAUAAGCUCCUUUCUUCAAUAAUUGAGUCAAAGGAGCAGCCUAAUUCAUUACAAAUCUUCGAUAAUAUCCUGUCAACCCAAGAAAUCCACGAACUUCACGGACAUUUGUGGGCACGGGCCAUUCUUUGAUAGAUCUAAUUUUCUCGGGAUCGACCUCUACACCCUUGCCCGAAAUUAUAUGGCCAAGAUACUCCACUUUCAUUUUGGCAAACCCACACUUGUGCAUAUUAGCAUAUAAUUUAUUCUCUCGCAGCACCUCUAACACCCAUUCUAAAUGUUGAAGAUUUUCAUCCAAACUUCUGCUGUAAAUUAAAAUAUCAUCAAAAAAGACUAAGACAAACCUGCGUAGGUAAGGUUUAAAGAUACUAUUCAUCAAAGCUUGAAAUGUUGAUGGUGCAUUGGUGAGCCUAAAAGGCAUGACAAGAAACUCAUAAUGCCCCUCGUGAGUUCUAAAAGCUGUUUUCUCCACAUCCUUUUUACACAUUCUAAUUUGAUGAUAUCCCACCUUGAGAUCAAUCUUCGAAAAUAUAUUAGCCCCAUUAAGUCAUCAAAAAAUUCCUCUACUACUGGAAUAGAAAACUUGUCUGGAACGGUCACACUAUUCAACGCACGAUAAUCUACACAAAACCGCCAACUACCAUUUUUUUUCACCAACAAGACCAGGCUCGAAUAUGGACUAGUACUAGGUUUUUAUGCCAGAUGCCAUCAUUUCAUCAACUAAUCUUUCCAUCUCAUCCUUUUGCUGGUAUGCAUAUCUAUAAGGUCGAACAUUGACUGGAUUAGUCCCCUUCUUAAGAUGUAUAUGAUCUUCAAUGGUACGUUGUGGUGGCAACUCUCCAGGCCAAUCAAAAACAUCUUCAUACUUAGCUAACACGGCUGGAAUAGACUCAUGAAUGGUAGACACUUCAUCAACCCCAUACAACGCUGCAAAUGCCAUUCCACCUUCCAAAGAUCUACACUCAAUCACAAAUCCCUAAUCAAGUUCUGUCCAUGUCUUCAUCAUGUGCUUCAAACUCACCCUAGCCUUCGUAAGACUCGGAUCUCCCCUUAAUACAACCUUCUUCCCAUUUUGUAUGAAUGUCAAGGUAAGUUUUCGCCAAUCUACUUCAGUUACUCCUAAUGUAUGUAGCCAUUGCAUAUCAAGAAUGACAUCCCCCCCCCCCCCCCCCAAUUCCAAUGGCAGAAAAUUAUCCACAACCUUCCAUUCACCCAAUAGCAGUUCCACUUGUUUACAAAUUCCCUUCCCUUUUACAGCAGAUUCAGACCCCAAAAUAACCCCAUAAUCAGAAGUUUCCUGCGACUGCAACAACAAUUGAGUUACUAACUUUUCAGAUAUAAAAUUAUUGGUCGCGUCGCAAUCUAUCGAUACUACUACUGACCAAGCAGAAACCUGGAAUUUUCCAUCCGCUGCACGUUUGAAACUUGAUUCUCCCAUUAUCACUUCUCGGUUCUCAAUCUUUUGGGCCAACUUCAUCAUUUGAGCAAGCCCCAUAGGUUCCCAACAUUCCAUGUCUACCUUAAUCCAUGGUUUCAAACCAUUCAUAAAUGUUUCUUCUAAGACAGCCUUUUGUAGAAAAGGCAAUGGUGCUACUGAUUUAUCAAAUAAAUUCCAAUAUUCUUCCACUGUAAUUUCUUUCUUGAUCUUUAAAAAUCUUCCCAGAAUUAAUCCCUCACGACUCGAUCGAAAUCAAACAAUAAGUCUCUUCUUUAAAUCGUCCCAAUUAACAAACGGUUCACGAUCUUCAUGAGAUCUAUACCAAUUCAAAGCUGCUCCAUCAAAACUAAUAAUGGACACAGUCAUUUUCUCUGACUCACUCAGUUUGUGUAUCUGAAAGUAUCUCUCAGCCCUAAAAAACCAAGAAUCAGGAUCAUUUCCCACAAAAACUGGCAUUUCAAUUUUUUUAAAUUUGCUUUGGUCGCCUGCAGAAUCUUCACCCUCCAACUUGGUAUGUUUUUCCUCAGAUUUUCCUCCCAUCAUCGUCCAAUCACUGACAUCAACCAUGCUGUCAACUCACUUGAUGGUCCUUCUAGUACUUCUUCCAUCGUUGUCUUCCCUUUGAUCAUUCCUUCAAUAUAUUUCAACAGUGUUUCUGGUUGCUGUUGUUGCUUCUCAGCCUGUACUCCUAACCUCUCAAUACUCUUCGCCAAAGAUGACAUGUUUUCCUUGAUUGUUGGCAGAUCAUGUAAUUCUGCUCGAAUGCCGGAUAUUUCUUGAUCUACCAUUUCCAACUUUUCCUCAAUUCGCUUUUGAGCCAUGAUAUAGAACUUCAUAGAUUCGAUUUCUCCGAUACCAAAAUGAUAGAACACCAAAUAGUGUGUUCUACUAAUUUAUUAAUCAGCCAAACAUUUACAGAAAACAGGUUCUAACACAGUCUUGAAAACAAAGUACUCGACAAUUUGGAAGACAGAAAGCCCUAGAAGAGUGAAUAUCACGCUUUGGAGAAUGCGAAAUGGACUAUGAACUGUGCAGAAGUUUUGCAAAUGAAACCUCCCUUUCUCAUACAAAUAUGAUGAGAUAAACUGUGAGAGGAAGGUUUCAUUUGCAAAACUUCUGCACAGUUCAUAGUCCAUUUCGCUUUCUCCAAAGCGUGAUAUUCACUCUUCUAGGGAUUUUUGUCUUCCAAAUUGUCGAGUAUAAAUGUUUUUCAAUUGGGGAGGCAAUGGAGAGAUGGUUGACUAAUGAAUGAACCAAAAACUUCCCAUUUGAUUCUGAUUUCUAGGUUCUUUUAUUUUGGGAGACUUGAAAUUCAUAUAUUUCUUCAACUUUUAGAAGUCUCCUGAAAUUUAGAGCCCAUGAAGUAGUGGAAGAGUCCCAAAACUCCUUUACAUCUCUAUUAUUAGAGUUCAAAGACAAUCUAAAUGAUCUUGAAAAGAAACAACAUCUGCCCAAAAAUCAUUCCAAAAUGCUAUUCUUCAACCAUCACCGAACUUGAACAAUGCCUAGGAAUCCACUUGAAGCUAGCAUCUCGAAAUGCUAAUCCAGGGACUAUGGAGACUGCAAGUGACAAUUCCUUUAGUAUGCCAUCCAAAUUAACUUUCUCCAUGGAUACUCUUCACCACUUUAGCCCAAAGGGAAUUCUUUUCAUUUAUAAAUCUCCAUCCCCAUUUAGCAAGAAGGUUGCAUUUUUUUAACGUUGCACCAUCGACGCUGAGUCCACCAUCCUCUUGCGAACAAGACACCACCUUCCAAUUAAUCACUUUAUGAAUCAUCUUUUCUGGCAUUAAGAAUAUAGACAUAUAGUGUGUAGGUAUAUGUGAAAAAACCGACUUAGGAUUUGCUAGGUCGUUUUGAAAACUCAAGUAAUACCUAGACACGUUUUGAGCACGUUUUAGGUUGGUUUGAACUAAGUUUGCUGCAAUUACACACCUGGUUGCCAUUUAGGGGCUUGUAGUGCUUUUUUCACAAUAUUUGAACUUUUUUCGUAGGGCAUGAGUUACGAACCUACACGUAAGCUGUUUUAGGACAUUUUGAAAGUUCAAGUGAUACUUAGACACGUUUUUAACUCGGUUUAGGUUGGUUUGAAACUAAGUUUGUUGACCUUAUCCAAUUGGUUGCCAUUUUCGGUCUUGAAGUGCCCUUUUCACACUUUUUGAACUUUUUGGUAGGCUAUGGGUUACCAAUUUACACUUAAACUUUGUUUAGUUGUUUUGAAAGUCCAAGUGAUACUUAGACACGCCUUGACCACUUUUUAGGUUGGUUUGGAACUAAGUUUGUUGCACUUGCGCACUUGGUUGCCAUUUUGGGUCCUGUAGUGUUUCCUUUUUUUCCAUACUUCUUGAACUUUUUGGUAGGUUAUGAGUGACAAACUUACAAAUAAACAUUAUUAGGUCGUUCUGAAAGUUCAAGUGAUACUUAAACACGGUUUGAAAUUUUUUUAGAUUUGUUUAAAACUAAGUUUGUUUCACUCGCAUACUUGGUUGCCAUUUUAGGUCUCAAAGUGCAUUUUUUACGCAUUUUGAACUUUUUGUUAGUUUGUGAGUUACGAAUUUACACUUAAGGAUUGUUAGGUCGUUUUAAACACAUUUUGCGUUGGUUUGAAACUAAGUUUGUUGCACUUACACAUUUGAUUGAAAUGUUGGGUCUUGAAGUACUUUUUUUCACACUUUUUGAAAUUUUUUUAGGUUGUGAGUUACGAACUUACGCUUGAGUAUUGUUUGGUCGGUUUGAAAUCUUAGACACGUUUUGCACUCUUUUUAGGAUGGCUUGAAACUAAGUCCGUUGCACUUACAUACUUCGUUGCCGUUUUGGGUCUUGAAGUGCUUUUUUUACACUUUUUGAAAUUUUGGUAGGUUGUGAGUUACAAACUUACACUUAAGCAUUGUUUGGUCGUUUUGAAAGUUGAAGUGAUACACACACGUUUUGAAUACAUUUUAGGUUAGAUUGAGUUUGUUGCACUUGGUUGUCAUUUUUGCUCUUGAAAUUCUUUUUUCAACCUUUUUGGUAGAUUAUGAGUUACGAACCUACAUUUAGGAUUUGCUAAGGUCGUUUUGAAAACUCAAGUAAUACCUAGACACGUUUUGAGCACGUUUUAGGUUGGUUUGAACUAAGUUUGUUACACUUACACACUUGGUAGCCAUUUUGGGUCUUGUAGUCAUUUUUUCACACUGUUGGAACUUUUUUCGUAGGUUAUGAGUUACGAACCUACACGUAAGCUGUUUUAGGUCGUUUUGAAAGUUCAAGUGAUACUUAGACACAUUUUUUUCAAGUGAUACUGUUUUAGGUCGUUUUCAAGUGAACUUUUUUCUUCUUGUAUUGACUGUUUUACUAUUUCUUCAUGGUUUGUAUUCAUGGUAUUUAUUUUCGUAAUGAAUCUUUCAUGUUCUGGUAAACAUUGCAGAAACACAUAAUUUCAGCAAUCUGUCAAAGAGUUGAAGGAGAAGACAGAAGUACUUAAAGGUCACAUGAAGACCUAAAAGUUAGGUAAUUUUUUGAAAACUUUUUUCUUCGUCUUGCUUAGUUUUAGUGGUAUUUGUUAACAGGCUGAGACACACUCUUGUAUGCCAAGGCUGGGUGGCCAAUUCAAUGGAUGGCCUGAGACGGUGAAAUGACGAGUGUAGAACAAAGUAGACAAUCGAGCAGAUUUACAAGUAGGAGGAUGGUGUUUGGUCUUACUGUAAAGCUACUGCUAGAAAGGUGAUUCUCCCUUUAUUUACACAUGUUAUCUAUAUUUAAUUACUGUUUUUAUGUGAUGGUGAAUAAAUAUUUAAGUCGUUUCAAGUUUUUACAUCAUGCUUGAGUUAAUACAUUUCCCAACUCGCACUAAUUUUAAAGUUGAGACUAAGUUUGUUGCACUUACACACUUGGUUUCCAUUUUGGAUUUUGGAGUGCUUUUUCUACAUUUUUUGAACUUUUUGGUAGGUUAUGAGUUAUGAAGUAACACUAAAGCAUUAUUAGGUCGUUUUUAAAGUUCGAGUGAUACUUAAACAUUUUUUAACACCUUUUAGGUUGUUACAAACUAAGUUAGUUUUACAUACAGCCAUGGUUGCCAUUUUGAGUCUUGAAAGAUUUUUUUUCACACUUUUUGAAAUUUUUGGUAAGUUAUGAGUUAUAAACUUACACUUAAGCGUUGUUAAGGUGUUUGAAAACUUAUACGUGUUUUCAAUACUUGUUAGGUUUGUAUAGAACUAAGUUCGUUGCACUUACACACUUGACAUUUUGGGUUUUGGAGUGUCUUUUUAAAAAAUUUGGAACUUUUUGCUAGGUUAUGACUUAUGAACUUGUAUUGAAUAUUUGUUAGGUCGUUUUGAAAGUUCAAGUGAAACUUAGACACGUUUUGAACUCGUUUUAGGUUGGUUUGAAACUAAGUUUUACACACAUUUGAUUGACAUGUUGGGUCUUGAAGUACUUUUUUCAUACUUUUUGAAAUUUUGGUAGGUUGUGAGUUACAAACUUACACUUAACCAUUUCUGGGUCGUUUUGAAAAUUCAAGUGAUACUUACACACGUUUUGAAUACAUUUUAGGUUAGAUUGAGUUUGUUGCACUUGGUUGUCAUUUUUGGUCUUGAAAUGCUUUUUUCAACCUUUUUGGUAGAUUAUGAGUUACGAACUUACACUUAGGAUUUGCUAGGUCGUUUUGAAAACUCAAGUAAUACCUAGACACGUUUUGAGCACGUUUUAGGUUGGUUUGAACUAAGUUUGUUGCACUUAGACACUUGGUUGCCAUUUUGGGUCUUGUAGUGCUUUUUUCACACUAUUUGAACUUUUUUCAUAAAUUAUGAGUUAUGAAUCUACAUGUAAGCUGUUUUAGGUCGUUUUGAAAGUUCAAGUGAAACUUAGACACGUUUUGAACUCGUUUUAGGUUGGUUUGAAACUAAGUUUAAAACACAUUUGAUUGACAUGUUGGGUCUUGAAGUACUUUUUUCACACAUUUGGAAAUUUUGGUAGGUUGUGAGUUACAAACUUACACUUAAGCAUUGCUUGGUCGUUUUGAAAAUUCAAGUGAUGUACACGCGUUUUGAAUUCAUUUUAGGUUAGAUUGAGUUUGUUGCACUUACACACAUGGUUGUCAUUUUUGGUCUUGAAAUGCUUUUUUCAACCUUCUUGGUAGAUUAUGAGUUACGAACUUACACUUAGGAUUUCCUAGGUCGUUUUGAAAACUCAAGUAAUACCUAGACACGUUUUGAGCAUGUUUUAGGUUGGUUUGAAUUAAUUUUGUUGCACUUACACACUUGGUUGCCAUUUUGGGUCUUGUAGUGCUUUUUUCACAAUAUUUGAACUUUUUUCGUAGGUUAUGAGUUACGAACCUACACGUAAGCUGUUUUAGGUCGUUUUGAAAGUUCAAGUGAAACCUAGACACGUUUUGAGCAUGUUUUAGGUCGUUUUGAGUAAAUGGUAUGUAUGUUGUGAUUGUUUGAUUGCAUGUAUAAUACCUUAUUGAGAUGUGAAUGCUUGAUUGAGAAGCUGAUAGAACACCAGGUAAUGGUUCUUAUUUGUUCAUUAAGCAACCAAACUAUUACAGAAUACAAUACUCAAACUAGUCUUGAAAACACAGAACAAACAAGUACUAUUACAGACAAUAACCAUGUACAAAAUAAAACAUUCAAACAUCAAAAGUAGUUUACGAUAAUGGAAAACACUUUCUAAGAUUAAAGUAACUGAACAACUUCUGAAAUUCUGCUCUCCAGAAAAUACAGCCCUUCCACUUCCAGAAACUGAUUAACCAACCCCCAUCUUUCCUUCCAAAAUAAAACAUUCAAACAUCAAAAGUAUGUAGGAAGGCUAACCAGAACUGAGUUGCAUAAGGUUUGUCUUCCGCCUCUAGAGAUGUUAUAUCUUUUCAUCUAAGAACAAAAUUGAUCACUUUUUUUCCCUUGACAAUCUCUCUAGUUUCUAGGUUAGGUUAAGUGAUGGGAAUGACUAACCACACUCACAAACGUUUAUCUGUAUGGCUAUUGCAAGCAUGCUACUUGCAUAGACAAUCCAUUUCUAAAUAGUUGCAUAGAAUGUUUACUUAUUGGUAUUAAAUAUUCUUGUUUGAAUAAGAGGUUUUCUUUAAUGGUUAAGUAAGCUCCUGAAGGUGACAAGUACAAGGUUGCACGAACGUGGGGCCGUAUCAAUAUUGUUACUCGGAAAUGGUUUGAUCAGUCCAUGGCCAGAAAAGGUAGUAGUUCGGGUUGUAUAUUUGAAAACCGAUAUGAUAUUUGAAUUGUUGGCAGUUAUUUGUCUAAUAAUUUUAUUAGUUUCUAACUUGUUUCAAAUCCUUUUAUUCUCAUUUUUAAUUGAUAGGAUGUUUUAAUGAGGAGCUGUACCCUGUUGGUAGCGUUUCUGGAACUUCAAAUAAAUUGACAAGGGGUUGCUUGACUGCUCACAAUAGCCAAGAAAAGGAUAUUGGGAACUUGGAAGCUGUACCGUCCUCAUUUCUUACCGAUUCAAAAUUCACAGCAGUUGCUGGUCCUGGGUUUUCAGACAUGGAUGUUAAAGUUACUCUUUCACAGAGCACGUCUAUGUUUUCAGAUGCUUCUAAUUUUAUAAAUGAGGUUGAUGUUGAAGUGCCAGUCACGAUGGGAAGGAAUGAAGAAAACACUGUUAAUUGUCUUGCAAAUGACUUUUAGUCUGAAGAAAACGACCUAUAUUUGUCAGCAUGUAGAAUAAAAGUUGUUGGGUUUGAAGCUUCUGAGAUGCGGAAGAUUGUAAAUAUGAUUCUCAGAGGUGGAGGCUCCCGAUACAUGGUUUUCAAUGACAAAUUAACACACAUAAUAGUUGGAGAUUCGUCAGAAAUGUAAUUAUCCUUUUACUUUAAUCGCAACAUAGGUUUUGUGAACUUUAUUGCUUGAAUUUGUGAGCUCGCCUGUGCUGUGAGCUUUUUGAUUUCAUUUGAAUGGUCUAUCCACCCAAUUGAAAAUUAGUUUUAUCAUAUUUCAAAUGGCAGGGAGAAAAAGGAGGUUAGAGAUAUUGCUACUUCAGGAGUUGUUCAUGUGGUUAGAUCCAACUGGCUUGAAGAGUGUGACCGUCAGAAGAAGGAGAUCCCUAUUCUUGGUAGACACAUGGCAUAUGAUGAACUUAUUCCUAAAGGUUUGAUAUGCAGGACUCGUAUUCUAAGCUAUCUGUCUUUUGAAUAGCAACCUUAAACUACCAUCAUGCAGAAUAACUGCACAUUUCAUUUGGAUGCAUGACUAAUAUUUGUUUGGAGAUCCCUAGCCUGUUUGUCUUGUUCUAAAUUUUCUGGCUGUUUACUUUGCAGCAUCUAGUAAAAUGAGCACCAUUGUUAUGGAUCAAAAUAAAGUUCCAAAUGUUCAUCCAAUCGUGCCAUCAAAUGUGUCAGAAGGAAAUAUUCAUGUUAGCAUUGGAAAGACGUCAAUAGCAGUGGAAAGAAUUGAAGAAAAAAGUGAAACAAAAGUGAAUGGAGACAGGAAAAUGAAAUUAUCCCAGAAAAGCCAACAAUGUGUAGCAAAUGGUACAAACAAGAGUUGAGAAAAGAUGGGGCGUGAUUUCAUGGUUUCAAAUGGGAAGUCAUCAUGUGUAUUUAAGGGGAAAAUAUUUUGUUUUUCUAGUUCCUUUCCAGAAGAUCGGGUAUGUUGUAAAGAUUCUUUCCUCUUAUUUCAAACAGCAUGAUUAAUGUACACUAUGCACUUUAGGUUUUAGAUGUAUUAUUGUGGUAAAUAGCAUCCAUUUUUUUAAAAAAAUAACAAAGUAGAAGCCCUGUAUUCAAUAUCAAUUGACUUGAGUAAAGAGUAGUUCAUUACUGCUCCAACUCCAUGAUUUUAAAAGCAAGUCAAUGGUGCAGAUAGGAUUCUAGAUCUACUGUUUCUUUAACACUCCGAUCCUGUUAAGAGAAUGAUAUAAAAAAAAUGGAAAAAUUACCUUUUUAGUCCCCAAUUUUAUAGAAAUAGGUUUAUUGGUCCUUGAGUUUUCAAAAUGUACUCUUUUAAUCCUUGAGUGCUUAAUGUUAUACUGGAGACUCUCAAAACCAAUUUUUAGAAGAAGUUAUUCUACCUUAAAAAUGUAUAAAGUUAUAUUGGGGACUUUCUAAACCAAUUUUUAUAAACUUAGAGACUAAAAAGGUGCAUGACCAAAUGGGUCUAUUUUUCUAAACCUGGAGACUAAAAAUGUACAUUUUUAAAACUCAAGAACCAAACACACGUGUUCUUCAAAACCAAAACUUGGGGAGUAAUUUUCCUAAAAAAUUUAAGAUAGUGCCAAAUGUCAUUUAGCAUGUGAAAUAAUUACGAUUUUCAUUUUUCAUUUGAGGAAUAUGCCUUCAAAUUUUUUUUACAUUUUAUUUUUGAACACUAACAAACAUGCAUCAACUUUUGACUUCCAUAAUCCCAAAUAUUUUUUAUGUAUAUUUUGAGAUCAUAUUUGAAAUUCUCCUACUAGAGAGCUGAAAUUGUUGAAUGGAUAAAUCAAGGGGGAGGCGAGGUUGUUGAAGAUCACAUGAAGCAGAAAGUGCACUUCACUGUUGAAUGUCAUGGUGGGAUACCAAGGAGUACAGACGUUCAUAGUACUUAUGUGUCAAGUCAUCGGGUUCGAUCAUGUUUAGAGGUAAGCGAUAAUUAAUUGUCUUAUUUGUGAUUUCCGUUUUAGAGCUCUACUAUUGGGUUUUGUUUGUGUUUCCCUUUUUGGACAUAAAAGUCCACACAAGGUUGAAUAGCAUAUUUUGUUUCAUUUAGCCACUGCAAGUUUGGAUUGUGUUUGGGUUGGAGCUUUGAAUUUUGAGGGACUUUAGUUUUGUGUUGAGCCACGCUCUUAUAAUAUGAAGGAUGGAUACUGUUUUUUCCAAAACCAAACGCACAUCAGUUUUCUAAGAUUACAACAACUGUCCUCCCAGUGUAAAAAAAGGUAUCCUCAAACCAACCAAAAGAAGGGGAAUAUGUGAGCAAGAUUUAUAGUUAAUAAAUCAUCAAAAGUAAAUUAGAGUUGGACUCGAGAACUCUUGCUGAUGUAUAGGAAAAGCAGACAAGGUAUGGGAAUAUAAAUUAAAACAGCCUUUAGAUGAAAAGGGCUGCUACAACUGAUCCUACCUCAAAUGGCGGUACCAAAAUAUAGGACUUGAACCUCAGUCUUCUCCCUCGCCCGUUGUUCUUGGCAAUGUUAAAGUAUCUCAAUUCGUACACAUUCAUCUCCUUGUUUGAAGCAAUAACUCAAAGCCAAUCUCUAAUGUUGUGUUUCUUGAAAUUCUUCUUAGCCAAGUAUUUAAGAUUCCUCUUGGAGAAGUAGCUAUUGGAGUUGAUGUUGAUCUUGUUCUUGUCCUGAGUGAUAGUGACUGAGUCAUCAAGUGUCUCUGCCACCCCAGCUUUGUUGGUCUGAUGAGGUGAUGGCCGUGAUCUUGUCCUCAACUGGCAUCACACAAUCAAAUGGUCACAUCCUUAUUUUUUCCCUUUGGGCCACCAGAUGCGGCUGGUCGAUGACUCAUUCUGCUUCUGCUCUGCUACUUGUUUCCCUAACUCUGCAUCUGUAUAGAACAAUUGGCAUAAAUGGUGGAUACUAUUAAAUUGGAAAAUGGAGAUUCAAUCAGUUCUAUCAUUUUGACCUUUUGAUGUUUAGGGGAAGGUGGUAACAUAAAUUUACCUUCUCAGACUAUCCAUUAAGGUUGGUCUGAAAAGAAAAGGGUGGUCUAUCUUGGAAAACAUAUUUGGUUGUUCUCUUUUUUCUUCACUCUGUCUACAUUUUGGAAAUAUGAGUGCUAUCAUUGUGUGAGAGGUUUCUUUAUUGACAAAAUUAAUUGGAGUUCAACAUUUGAAGAAGUCUUUCUAUGACUGUCCCUUGAACUCCAAAGGUUUGCACUCCAUCCCUGUGCCAAACAAAUAGAUGCUUCUUAUAUAUUUUUCUCUGGAAUUGAGAAAGUAUUGAUGCACACUUCUGUUAAAUGCGUUAAAUUACGGCUUUGAAGCCAAUUUUGAAUGGAUAGCUGGCGUAGAAACUGCCAUUAUUGAUGAAAUUUGAUACUACUGAUGAUUUUUAAUUUUAAUUUUAUAUUAUUAUUAAUUUCGUAGCCUAAUUAUGUUCAAUAUCUUAAACUGAUAUUUGAAAUGAGAAUUGAAUUUUUAUCUUGUUUUUAUUUGUUUACUGACUAUUUCAAAUAAACUCGUUAUGAAGGAUGGAUGUUUGUGGGAUACCAAUGGGCACAUUUUCUAUUCUCCUCUUCCUUGCUGUGUCCCUUUGCCUGGAUUUGAAAACAUACGGUUUUGUGUUUCACAAUAUGAUGACAAAGACAGAGUAUUGUUAAGAAAUCUGUGUUUUGUACUUGGGGCCAAGUUUGUGGAGAAGCUGACAAAGAAGGUAACCCAUCUAAUAUGCAAGUUCACCGAUGGGACAAAUUAUGAGGCUGCUUGUAAAUGGGGGAAACAAUGCAUUACAGCUGAAUGGAUAUAUGAGUGUGUCAGCCAGGUACCUUUGCGAUUUUGUUGCUUUUCAAUUAUAUAUGUUCACGUACAUGCAUAUCCUGGUAGAAUUCUAGACCCAUUGGUGUAUCCUUCUAUUAGGAUUGAUGUUUUUUAUGUUUAAACUUUUGGUUUCCUUUGCAUUUGGUUUAAUCCUUAAUCGUACCAGAUUUUCCCGCCAGACUGUUCGCUUGUUGGUCAAGACCAUUCAGAAACUUCUCCAAUUGGUGCUUUAUCUAACCAGUGGUCAAAAAGGUAAUUUUUGCCGUUGUCUCCUUGAUCUUCUUAUGGAAAGACCAUGCUGAAUUGAAGUGUUUAACAAGAACGGUCGCUGCCUGGAAAUAUAGUGAGACCAUUCAACGAAGUCGUUAUGAAAGAGUUUAUUUUCACUAUAAGAGAAAUAUUUUUUUUUAUAUUCUUUUAGUCUCUACUGAUGAAUUGCUUCCUAGAACAAUAUAAUUUAUAAUUUCUUUCAAAAUAGGUUCGUUUGAGUAAUAGUGUUAAUUAUAAAACUCAAAUCACACCGUUUGCAAUGCUUGAAAACCAGUAUUCACAAAUAAAUGCUAUCCUUGAGCAUUAACUUUUUUCAUGGGACAUUUGCAAAAAUGGUAAAACAAGUUAUAACUUUAUUAUUUGUGAAAAUGAUCAAAUAAAGUCCAGCCCACCCAUAUAAAAGCCUGGAUUUGAUUAUUUUUGCUAUAUUUUCAAAAUCACAAACCUUAAAGACAUUUUUACAAAAUACCUAAACUAAUUUGCCACCCAAUAUAGUUUUCCUUUUUCAUUUUAGAAAAACCAGGUUUGGAAAUAAAGGCAGUAGGUUAUUUCUUUAAAAACUAGCCAUUAAAUAUCCCUGUAUUCUAAGUGGAUCUUAGCAUAAUGCAAGCUUUAGUGUUUUUUCGAGAAAGACUAUUAUGUUCAAACACAAUUCAAUUUUGCCUUUGUAACUUGGUUUUUGAGACCUUUGUGUCUUGUAUUUUCUCAGAGCUGAAAGAAAAGAAGAUGUCGGCAAUUCUACUACUGAAGAUGGGACUGUGGGCAUAUGUGAUGGCUUUAGUGAAACACAAACAGAGUCUCAGGUGUGUGCUAUGCAAUCCAGAAGGGGGAAUGCAACUAUACCCAACUCACAGGUUGAUGACGGUGAAUGGGAGCUGUAUCCACAAGUAACUGCUCUAUGCAUUGGAAAUGCUAAAUACUUUGGCGUGGUAUGAAAAUUGUGCAAAUGCCGAUCCUUCCAACAGGAGUCUAGAGGUAUAAUUCGUUUCUGUGGGAUUUUAUUUGAUCACUUUUUCCUUCCUUGUCUUCUUAACUAUGUGAUGCUUUUCUUUGCAGGUAGUAAUUCUUCAGGAUUUCAAGUGGUAUGACUUUAUUCUGAAUUUACACAAAAUAUACAAUGGGACAUAUUUGACGGUGAAAAACGUAACAUCAAGAAGGUUAGUCAUCUCUUUAAAAAUUAUAAUGUGCCUAGAUUUUCCAUUUUGUAUUUCAAUUUUUCUCUCUCCAACGGUCUGUUUUAUGUUCGAGACUUGUGGAAGCAGAGGUGAAGAAACUAUAAUUGAACUGGAUUUGCAUGGAGCAUUGUGAUUUUCAUUUCUGUCAAGUUUUUGCUUGAGAAAAACUUACACUCAAACUUAUAUGGAGAUGCUUUAUUUACCUAGCAGAGAAGCCCUAAGAAAAGUAAUAUUGUUAAACCUUCUUACUUCUGGCAUUCUGAUGUAUCCUCAACCAAAAUUAGAAAGUUAUAUGAUUAUCCUUUUUUCCUUGUUAAAUCUUUGUCAACGUUGAUGAACUCAAUUAAUCGAUAUCAAUGUAACUCAUCCAUGGUUGAACAUAUGAUUGAGCAUGAUUUCACAUUUCAGCUCCACCUCAUUAAAAUUCAUUGUUUGGCAAUGAUGCCCUUUUCUCAAUCAAAACUUCCUAUUUCUGCUUCUGAGCUUGUUCGUCUGCAAUGCAACUAUCAUCAGUUUAUUGUUUUGUUGUUCAAGCAGCGUUCGUUUGAUCGAAGUGGAAGAAGUUUCUUGCAGCGGCAGCAUAUAUGUUCAAUCUGAUGGGGAACACUUGGGGUUUCUCCAAGGAAAUUCCAUAUUCUACCAGCUGCCAUUGAAAUGAUAUGCUGAACAUGAGCUCCCUUUUGCGGAGAGAGAAAAACAAUAAGCAAAAGUUUCGUAGCCGUAGGACCCUUUUUUUCUAACGUGGACUCCUCUCUCAAAUUAGAGUAGACAAAGUAAGUUGUUAUUUUACUUUUUUUUGUAUCGAAACCUUCUUUAUACAAAAGUUUCAUACUUUCAUCCAUGGCCAAAUUAGAAAAUAAUGUUCACAAUUUCUUGUCUUGUUAAAUGAAAUUUCACAUUUUUUGAAAAUUUUGGAUUAUAAUUAUUUGAAAAAACAAAUUUUUUUUUGCUAACUUUACUGAAAAUUUUGUUGCUUUACGGGUUACCCUUUUAGUUAACGGUUCUUAUUAGACAAUUUUUUUACCUAAGUUUUUCUCUUUGAAAUUUGAUUUUUUUUAGUCUAAUUUUUUUUAAAAAAAUAUUUGUUUUAGUUCUAAUUUUUUUUUUUUUUUUUGCGUUUUAAAUGGGCUUUAUGACAAAUAAUUCAAAUGUUUCUUAAAUGGCCUUUUCUUCUCUAACUCCUUUCUACUUUUUCCCUCCUCCCCCCUUCUCUCUCUCUCAUUUCAAAUUUCUUCCCCCACUUCUUCUCUAACGGGCUUUAUGAAAAUAAGCUUGGCUUGUCUUAGAUAUACGAGAGAUAAAGUAAUGUUUUUAACUAAAAAUGCCUUAAACCAUCAAUGGUCUCAACUCCUCCCAAGACCUCUCAAAACCCUUACUCUCUUCUGGUCACAUGUUCCAUUAAAAAAAAAUCUAGUGAGAUAUUUCACAACCUUGAUCACAUAAGACUACAAUCGCUAUUUCAAACCAAACUAACUCUAAAGGGCUCGACAAAAGUUGGAAAUCAAGGUAGCAAACUGCCAUCUCUAAAGGAUGCGAUGUGAUCUAAUUCCUUAAAUGCUCCCGUGCUAUAAAUGCAUGGGUGCAGUCCAAACACAAAGGAAGAUUGUCCCUAUAUAUAAUCAUUUUUUAUAGGAAGCAUAUCUGAUAUAAUCUAUAAUGUUAACUCCCUAACGCAAAGUCCUUGCUUCUAAUUAUGCCACUCUAGAAACUUGACAUUCUUGGAAGUUUCUUCGUUUACCGUGAAGUGGAGUUGAUAGUAAUAAUAUUGAUGGUGUUGGUUGUGUAGAAACCAACCUAAACUGUAACGAACGAAACCACCUCAAAGUCAUGAAUCAUGGAUGUUGGAAUUUAAUCAGUUGCUUUCCUUGUUAUUAGUACAACUUCCCAUGCUAAUAAACCUUUUUGGUUGUUUGGAUGUGAUAAAUUGCAGUUUUAAGUAUCAAACUCCCCAUGAGUGUCGAGCAUUAUGAACUAGCUAGUGCAACAAUCUUGAUGACAUCAAUAUUAGAUCAAAGUUCUCUCUCUAUAUAUUUUUCUUUCUAUGUUUUGAUCUGAAUUUUGAAGUAUGUAGUAUGUGUUGGCUGAGGAUUCUAGAACUAACAGAUUUCUUUUUCUUUUUCUAGGUGCUGUUUAUGGUAUGAGGCCAUUAGAUUUAAGGUAAUACUAUCUCCCAUAAAUUCAACCAUGGCUCUCUAACUCUGUUAUGACAAUCUAAAGUUUCUCAUCAAAUUAUCAUGAAUAGUUAAUCUUUUUCAAGUUAACUAGUGUUUUAUCUAAGCAUCUUGAAACUAAUAUGAGAUUUCGGCACUGCCUUGCUAGGAAUUCUAUUAUCAUGGGAGAUUACCAAAGUUAUGUUUUAUUAGCAUGGGAUCGAAAUUCGCACUCAACCAACUUUGAAGUGAAAAAUAAAAUACUACAGAUUUUGUCCUUGUCGAAACAAAUUUCAUAAUCUUUUCUCAUAUUUUUAUAUUCUUCUUCAUGUCAUUCUAAAUGACUUUGAGGAGAGGAAAACUCAUAGAUUAUAGGAAAUUAUUCGUAUUCCUGAAUAUUUCUACGUUUGGUUCAAUUAUUCCAUUCUUAUUAUGUUAAGUUUUAGUUUUAAAAGCCCAAAGGUUUACAAAAAAGAAAAAAAAAAGACUUGAAACAGUUUUUGAUGAUGAUAGAUGAGAAUGAAUUAUUGACUAAACUUGUAUCUAUUGUUGCAGGUGUUAGGACUAUUGAAAAUUAGAUAUAUUGGAUAAAAGACAACACUUGGAAGUACUGCCAUAUUUGGCCUUUUCUUAGGGGCUGGGAGUUUGAUACAUUGUGGAAAGUCAUAUUAAAUCACAAGGUCCUGUAUUACAAGUUAUGUUUAUGUGAUUAUUACCUUAAUCUUACUUUUAGCCAGCAAACAAGAACAUUUAUUGAAGUCGUGGAUCAUUGAUGCACAACUAGGUUCGACAUUAUGUUUGGCUUGGCGUGCAUUCCAUUGAUACACUUCGUCUCGUGCAUUUUAUGAAUACUUUAUGCAUUCAUCAAUAGUAGGUAUCUUGAAAUCAUUAGAGCAAUAAACAUGUUGCAACCAGAAUUUGACCGCUUAUGUUAUGAUGCGAGCUAAAUUAUUUGUACAGGAUGGCCAAAUUCUUUUUAUUACCUUUCUAUGUAUAGUACCCGUCGUGUAUUUAAAUUCCAGAAAUGAGAAACAAGAGUUUCACGGAGAAAAUGAAUGCACUGGGACAUAGAAAAUGAAAAGCCAACCAAAGGAGUCCAAACUACUACAAGAGAUAAUUAGGCCAAAUAGACUAGUACAGAACGUGUUAGUGGUCGAGUCCCUCACAAAGGUGUUAUAUUAAUGACCUCUCAAAAUCUCUCUAAAAAGUCUAUUGUCUCUAUGUCACGUUUGACCUUGGAUUGGAGACCACCAAGGAUUGAACCUUUUAGAGACCCUCAAUCUCUCAUACCUCUAUCAUGUGGCUAUUGAAACCUUUAAUGGUCUUUAGAAAAUGUAUUUUUGUUGAUUAGGGAGGAUCGCUGUAAGGACUUUUUUUCUUUUUCCUCCCUAAUUUGGGAUAAUGUUGUUCUCUUUAACUCUUUUUACUCCAUUUGUUUCAUUUGAUUUUUCAAAUAUUGGUACAAGUUGGAUUUUGUUUCUCCCUUAUUAAACAUAAUUGAUUUUUUUUUCUUCAAUUCUUGACCUAUACCUUUCUGGUUGCUUAAGCUCAUAUGUAAGUUUGUUUUUUGUUGUAUGAUUGAGUUUUUCUUUUACUGUACUUUUGAUGUCUAUGCCAAUGAGCGUUCAAUUCUACUUGUACCAUGAUUUGCAGGGUUGACAUGCAAAAAUUUCUUAAAUGCUAAGCAACCCCUCACAGUGAGUGAAAGAGUUGAGAGUGAAGGUGAAAAUACAUCUUUCACUUCUAAAUCAAGUACUUCGAUAUCCAUGUUUUUUUUUUUAUAGAAAAACCAACUCAAAAUUUGACAACUAAAAUUUUGGAAUUUUGACUAAUUCCUACAAACACAAUAUUCUUAUGCUUAAAAGAUCAACAAAACAUAGUAAAAAAAUGGAAGAAAGUAAGUUUAAUUUUUUUAAAAAAAGAAAUUAAAAUAAUUACUAAGCAGAUGAAAUCUUACCUUUCAAAAACAUAAUUAAGAGAGCUUACCUUUCAAUAUCAUGGUAAAAGAUAUAUGAAUGGAUGUGUUAUUAUUAUACUUUAGUCUCUUGAUGGUAUAAUUUAGUCAAUAAUUUGAUGUAGAAAAUUGAUAGUAAAUAGAAAUUUGUAGAAAUAGAGAAAAAAGAACAUAUUGUCUUUAACUAUAACUAUCCCACAAAGAAACACAGAAACAAGGUUUAUGAAGAAAACAAAAAUUCCACUUUAAUCACAUUUAUCCAUUUUUUUUACAAUAAACUCCAUUUUAGACUUUUGGCAGAUCCCCACACCUUCACCACAACAUUACAAAUUAGUAAUAAUAAUAAUAGAGAAAGAAAGAAAAAGCUAAAUUUUUUAUAAAAAAAAUUCUACCCAACCAAAACAUGCAAGAAGUUGGUUAUAUAAAGAGAGUGAUUUUAGAGGAAAGCUCCCAAGUACAAAAGACCACUGAAAAGAGUGGCUCUCAAUUUAUUUUGUUUUAAUUUAUGAAGUCGAAAGCUCAAAUAUGUGCUUAGUGAAAUAUAAAUAUAUAAAGUUUCAUAUAACACUUGUAAUUAAACUUAGGACAAUACAAACCAAACCAAGAUAACAAGUUCACAAAAUAAAAGUAGAAAGUCAUCAAAUCGACAACUGGUCCAACAUUAUCUUUUAAGAGAACCUUGCAAUACUCCAAUUUAAGUUUUACCUCUAUGGCAUCCACCCUAUGGAAUAUGAUUUGCAUAAGCUUUACCUUGUCUCGAUUCCAUAGUUCAGGGAUAUCUUGCAGUUCUUUCACGACUUUAGCACGCAAUUCAACCUCUGUUACACACUUUUCUUUAAGUCAAUUUGCAAUUGCUUUUAAUUGUCAUUUCUAACUUCCAUUGCAUUACUUAUCACAUCUAUCCCUUCAUAUUGUUGGCCACUCUUUUUUCUCUUACUUUCACUUCAAUAAUUUCUUCUUUCAUCUGAUCAACCUGCACGUAUUUCUAACAUCUCAUCUGGUGACAUAUCAAGUCAUUGGCUAUACAUUGUCGGGAUGUCUUGAUCAUGUGAAUCACCCAAGGGAACACCAUCAUUAAAAUUGUAAUGCACAUUACAUCCCACAUCAGCAAAGGUCUCUGAACAUGCUCAUGUUGCCCGAUCUUUGCCGAAGACAUAGGACAGAUCAUCAUAAUGUGGAAAUGAUUUGUGUAGAAGGCUUUUGGCUCCAGGAUGACUCUAUACAAACAUAAUUCAGACAUAUUAGAUGAUGAUUGGGAUUAUAAAAGUACAUAAAAUUGUACUGUGAAAUUAAUACCUUGACCCAACUAUCAAACAACUCUCGCUCUACAACGAUGCAUUGAUACUCUUCGUUCCAUCCAAAGCUACACUUUAGAAAAUGUGCAAAACUUUAUUCCAAACUUUAUUCCAUGUACACUUUAGAAAAUUUGACUUUGCAAUUUCAUUACAAAUUAUUUGUUCCGCAUAUCAACUAUGUAGAAUUAAGUUAGGAAAUAAUUUUCAAACACACAUGAUUUAGUAUUGCACAAUUUCCGUGGAUAAUAAUAAGUUACAAAUAAUAAAUGCGAAAUCAUUCCAGGAAAGUAAUGAAUUACAAAUAUGGUCGUUAGAAAAAAAAAUAUUAAAAAUAAUUUGUAAUGCAUUUUAGGGGGUGUUUUUCAAAUAUUUGAAAAUGAGAAUAACACUUUCAAUUCAAUAAUUUACUUUCAAAUUUGAACAAUUAGACUAUGUGAUAAAUUUAAAAUUAAUUUAAGUAUUUGAACUAAAAUUGUCAUUUGAAAGUAUAACACACAAACUAUUUUUUUCAACGAUGAUUAAUUACAAAAAAAAAAUUAAUUAGAAAACUUUACUACACAUUUUUAUCACACAUUAUAGAGUCUACCUUUUUAAAAGGGUAAUUCAUAGGUUUAGGCAAUGUAAUUCUUUAGAUCAACCACACAUAAACUUACUUUGAUUACACAAACUAUUCUAAUCUUGGGCUAUUAUAAUUUGGUAUAAAAACCAUGAAUAACACACAAACUAUAGAGUGUUUAAGAAGUUUGGCUAAAUUAGAUUAUAUUACUGCUAAAUUUAUAAAUUUACUAAUAAAUUCCCAUAGCAAUAUUAUUAUAAGCAAAUGGCCAAGUAAAAUAAACAUAUUUUUUCUUGUUUGUCGUCUUGCGAUCUGUCUUUGAUGUGUAAGGUCAUCAGUUGUCACCACAUAAUGGAUCCACAAUAACUAGUUAUGAUACUUACCGUAUUUACAACUUCCAAACAUGAGUUACUUAUGACACUUUAAUUAUUAUUGGAUGAUCAUAAGAUGAUAGAACAUACAUCAUUUGAUAGUAGACAAUUAUCAUAUUUUCGACUAAUCCAUGAGUAUGAUCUUUCCUGUUGUCAAAGUACAAUAAUGAAUAGAAUAUGUUUUGCCAUUUUAUGCCAUUUACUUAGGACGACUGCUAGAUUAGUUGGAACAUAAGUUAUAGAUGUAGAAGAGAUGAUUGUCAUGUUCUUGCAUAUAUUAGCUAAUGACUUGAAAAAUCUAAUAAUACAAAGGGAAUUUGUACGGUCUGGUGAGACUAUUUCUUUUGAAUUUUCUGAUGGCAUUACUGCUUCCGUCCCCUGUUCGUACAUCAAGUUUGUCGAAUAUUCGUUACUGCCUUAGUAUAAAGGUAACCAAAACAAAAAAUUGAGAUCAUUGAACUUUUAAAAAUUGAGAAGAAUAGAAAAAAGAACAUCAUAUUCCAAACUUGUACAGGUGAAGGAGUAUCACAUAAGGGAUGAGUUUGAAGUAGGGAUUGUUGUGAGCAUCUUUGAAAGUACAUCCAAACAACAACAAAUGGAAAAUGGUUGAAGCCAAAUUGCUACAAAUAGAAGGACAAUUAGAGGUUUAAAUGCGAUGUGGAAGUAGGAAUUCCACACCCUUUAAAAUAAUUUCCAAUUUGAAUAAUUGGUGCAAAUCUAAUUAGUGUGUCUGAUUGUCAAUUCUAUCUAUACUUAGAUAUAUGUAUAUAUAGCUGAAACACUUACUAAUAUAAUAUCGAAUAUAUCUAACCUCCUCCCUAGAAUGUUCACCGAAGUUGGGCAUCGUUUUUUUUUUUUUUACAAGCGGCAUCAUUAGUAGUUGAUGUAUCAAAUUUGAGAAUAUAUGCAAUUAAAUAUUGUGAUAUCAAGGAAGAAAUGUCCAAAAGAGAAAAGCCCAACUGAAGAAGCAUGUAAUAUUUUUUUUCCACGUUUACUAACAAUCUCCUCAAAACAUUCCUAACUUAAUUAUUACAUGUGCAAUAUCUUGGCUUCACAUGAACCUUGUCCUUUCCUCAAGGUUGUACCAUGAAAAUUGGGGGCAAAAAUCAUCUAUGUUCGUUCAUAUGGUUUCAUGCUCCAAGAGCCCUUGCAACUUACCAAUAGUUCUUUGGUGUCGGAUUGGGGGUAUCCGACUAUGUUGGCUGGUUUUGCUAUCUAUUCAAAAUAUUUAGUUAGGAUUUUGUUUCUUUAGGGGAUGAUUUUGAAACAAAUGACACCAACAACAUCAAAUAGGGGCAAACACAAUUAGAUCAAGAAAAUAGCCUCAUAGGAAAGAGCUUUACUGUCAAGAUUCAAACCAAUGUACCACUUAAAAGGUGGAGCCUAGAAAAAUAACUAAUUGUAUUUAUUAGAUAAAAACUUAUGGGGUAAAAAUUAGAUCAAUUAUAUCUAUAAAUAUAUUAUUAUAGCUUCAUAGAACGAGAGUCAUUCUCCACUUGUGAUCUCUUCACUUGUUGCAUUUAAUUAUUUUUUGGCUUGAGCUCGUGAAUUCAGUCCUUGCUUCCAAUCUUUUUAGACUUAUUUGACAACUAAUCACUUUCUGCAUUUUCAAAUUUAAAGAAAAUUUAUAAAAUUUGGAUUGAACUUCAUAAACUAUGGUUGGAUUUGGAACUCAUUGAUUGACUUCAACGUUUAAGAGUCAUAAAAGACACAACUUACUUUCUCACCUGUCACCACUAAGCCUACGACAACAUCUUUUUAUAAGAUAUUCAGUUAAUCUUUAGAUUGUUUACCGAAUAAUCGUCUAUUGUUUUGUAAUUGAUCCCACCAAGCGCUUGCGCCACCUUGAAGUUUGAGAGCAACUAAUCGGACCUUCUUGUGUUCGGGUGUAUUGGCAUAGUCGAAAAAAAUUUCUACGUUCUUGAUCCAAUCAAGAAACUUCUCCACGUCCAUUCGACCAUUGAAGGUAGGGAGAUCCACUUUCAUACGUAUUUCUUGAUCUUCUUGAAAGUAUGGUCGAAGUCCAAGCCUUUGUUGAGGUUCUUGAUGAAUGUUCAGCAAGUUGUCUUCAUCGGAAGAGUCAGAAUCGUUUAAGAAAUGUCCAGGUACGUUGUUUCCAUACAAUCGAUUAUUGUGGAUGUGAAUAGAUUGAUUUCUUAGUAGUUCUUGGUUUACAGCAGGGUUUCUUGGUCUUUCUUGUCUUUCUUGGUUUGCUGCAAUUGGGUUUCUUGAUCUUUCUUGUCUUUCUUGGUUUGCUGCAAUUGGGUUUCUUGGGGGCUGAAUUGCUUCUUCUAAACGUUGGACAUGAAAUCGGGUAAAAAGGUUUGUUAAUUCUACUAACGAUUGUUGUAUAUCUGACUGCCCUUUUCGAAGUUCUUCAACAACUUGUUCUACCAACUGCAAGCGUUGGUUGAAGGAGGCUUCCGCGUCCAUGGAUAAGAGUGGUAGGAUCCAAGUUUUUUGAGGGAAGAGUGAGCUAGGAUCACGCUCCGAUACCAAUUGAUGCAGUAAUUGCAAAGCUAGAAACCUUUAUGUAUAAUGCCUCUUUUUUUUUUAUGUCUUAUUAAUGAAAAUGAGAAGCCUUUUUAUAGGCUGGAGAUUACAAGAGUUGUUAAACUAACUUGGGGUUGAGUUAGUUUAACUUGGAGUUGAGUUAGUUAUAACUAACUCAAGAUACAAAAUUGGUAAUUCAAAUAACUAAUCCUAAACUAUAAAAAUGGUAAUUCAAACCCCUCCUCUAGGAUAAAACUCAAGAAACAUCAAGAAGGGAGAUGUUCUACAUCAAAGUGUAGAGAACGAUUCAGAAUCCUUGGUGAAAGGAAUGAAUGAUAACUAAUGUGUGUUUAUGUGAAAUUGUUAUGUUAUGAGUAUGUUAAGGAUAAAGAAAGGUUUAUGCGAGAUAAAAUUAUUUGAUGCUGUUUAUGCGAAAUAAUGUUUAUGAAAAGGUAUUGCGAAAAGGAUUUCAUAAAACCUUAGUCUUUUAGACAUUCUUUCAAAAAUUCAUCUUCCAAGAUGAGGUGUUUAGGCCAAGUAGAGAAGAAGGCUGAAGGAUUUGCAGCGAGAUGACCAGACGUUUUGAAAAUAGUUAAGCAUUGGUUGUUUGGUCAAAGUGUUGUAAUUAUGUAUCAAACACAUGUUAUUAAUAAACAUCUUGGUAGGUAUUUAUUAUACUUGCUGUUUAGGUUGACCACCGUUGCGUUUUGAGUUUUGUUAAUAGUAUAAAAGGAGUUGAGAAUAAUAUUUUGCGAUAAGAAAAUUUCAAACUUGUAACAAACUCACAUCCUAUUCCUAAUACUUUGACAUUUUCGUUGCAGUACGGUUUGGGAUGUGACAUGUACACAUGACUGCCUAGCUUAAGUCAUCUCGUUGAGUAAAGCCAUCUCGCCUAAGCUCAAAUGGCCACUCAUGACAACUCUUUAUAUAGAGGUUUUCUUGCCUACACCUACAAAUCUUCAUGCUUGGCGCCUUGACAUGUUCUUGGAGGUUCUUACCUUACUACUUGGCCACAUAAUUGAAUCCUUAGAGAUUCUUUUGCCUUUCCUUUGGCCGCCUAUUAUGUCCAUCUUGCCUAGCGUUCCUUGUGUGCUUAGAGGUUACCUUGGCAACACCACACCUCUCAGCCACACACACACACACACACAACCUUGGCCAUCCAAUACCUUUCUUUAGAGGUUCUCAUGCUUUUCUUAGUCGCCUAGAAGUCUUGCACGCCUACUCUCACAUUUAGCCAUAUGUUGUACUUUGUUUUCCACCUUGACUUUUAAUGACACACAAACCAACUUUCCAAGGAAUUCCCUUUCAUUUUCCUAUUAACUCAUAUUCUCUUUUUUUUUAUCAAGUCCUUGCUAGAGAAAGUGGACUUUGAGUUGUUGGACUUUAGUAUUGCAUGGACAUUCAAUUUUGAAUGAAAAAUCCUUAUAAAUGGGGCAUUUGAACUAAUUUGAUGGGUUAACUAUUGAAUUUGGGCUUUCACACCAAAUGGAAUUUCUUUUUCUUAUUUACUUUUUUAAAACAAAGAAAAUUAACCACGCCCAUUUUUUUUCAUCUAUUUCUCUCGUCCGGUUCUUUCAUCCAAUGGGUCCCACAACUCGAUUAUGAGUCUAGAGGAUACUAAGUCAAACUUAGUGGUUGUUUGAAUAAAAUGCAGCUUCGAAUGUAAGUAUUCUAAAAACCUUUUUUUUGGUUUAGUCUUGUUAAUUAAGCCCAAUUAGGGUAGAAUUUCGAUUCUUUUUCUGUUGUGCAUGUCUUAGUUCUAUCAGUAACUCCCUUCAGGGUGAUAGCUCUCAUCAGCAGACUUUCCAUUGUUGGUUUCUUCCUGAGUCAUCACUGUAUUGUUGUUUUCCACAAUAGGUAGGGUGAGUUGCAGUUUUACAUGAAACGCAUUGCUCAACCCACACUCUUUUCUCACUAGUUCCUUAUUCUCAAUCUUCAACGCAAAUUUCAUCAUCUGGGCCAACCCAAUCGGUUCCACGGUUUCCACUUCCAUUUUUAUUCAUGGGCUAAGCCCAUUCAUCAAAGUCUCCUCUAACACUACCGUUUGAAGAAAUUCUACCAGAGCUAAAUAGCGAUCAAAUCGGUUACGGUAUCCUUCUACAUUCGUUUUCUGUUUGAUUGAGAAAAAUCUUCCAACCAAAGUUCCUUCUCGAAUUGAUCGAAACUGUACAAGCAUUCGUUCUUUCAGGGCUGCCCAAUUCUUAAAAACUUCCAACUCUUCUUGUGCUUGGUACCAAUCCAAUGCCAGAUCAUCAAAACUAAUAACGCCUGUGGUUAAUUUCUCUGAAUCGGUAAGAUCAUGUAUCUUAAAGAAGCGAUAGGCUCUAAAUGUGAGACCCAUUUCUAAUUUGAGUAAUGAAGUAAAAUUUGGCUAGGUAUUAAGAACUUGGCAUUUGAAUAAAUCCAUGAAAAGGAUUAAGUGAUAAAAAAUUUUAUGGUUAAGUAUACGUUAUUGCGAUUCAGUGGGUAGUUCGCGAAGGAAGUUGUGCGACUCAUUUCUAAUUCGAGUAAGGAAGUAAAAUUCGGCUAAGAAUUAAGAAGUUGGUGUUCGAAUAAAUCCAUGGAAAGAUUAAGUGAUAUGAUCUUUUACGGUUAAGUAUACUUUUUUGCGAUAAGUGGGUAGUUCGCGAAAGAAGUUGUGCGAUAAGAAGCGAAAAAGUCUUUGCGUAAGUUAAGAAAUGAAAGUUUUGAGUGUUAGACUAGGAGUUUUGGGUGGUCUUCGUGAGAAGAACCAAGUGUUUCGUGGAGAAGAAGUCUACGAGGAAGCCUUGGAGUUUAAGUUCACGAUAAGAGUUCUAUGCGAGUAAAAGUUGGUUAGUUCACGUGGAACGUUUCUUAUAAUAAAAAUAUAAUCAAGAGAUAAGGUUAUUCACGAGAAAUGUUAAGUGGUUGAAUUUAUUCACGGUUUGGGUUAGGCGGGAAGCAAGGUCUGUAAAGAAAAUGUCAAAUCUGAUUUGACAUGGGUUAACAUGUAAGAUAAAGGAUUUGAGCAUGACUAGGUUAAAUAUUAAGGAUUUGCAUGACUAAGUUAGUAUAAGGGAUCUAUAAAAUAAGAGAAUUUAGGUAACUAAGGAGGGGAUGACGAGAGUUUUGUUGAAAUGUUAAAGUGUUGUUGGUUUAGCCAUGCAAAAAGAUGGUUGUGAGAAGGACUUCUUUAGUAAAGUUUGGUGAGUGCUUUUCAGUCAAAAGAAUUUAUGUUAAGAAACUUUAUUACGAUUUCUCUUUACUCAUUUGAAAGAAGAAUUCAUAUAGGAAUGUUUCAGAAAGAUUUCUAUGAAAAGUUAUGUUUUCAAGCAUUAUUUAUAAUGUUAAAGCUUGAUUUGAUGACUAUGAUUUCAAUAUUAUGUUUCUUUGAGAUGAUGCUAACUUUUAUGUGCACAUAAAGAGUGAAGGCCACUAUGGAGUGUACGAACUACAUGGUAAUAAGAAGCUGACUUAUGCAUUGAAAUGAGCGUAUAAAGCUUAGCGGUAUGAGCAACAAAGACGAAUUUGUAUGUUCUCAGAUGUUGUUGAUACAGUAGUCUAAACGUGAGGUAAUGAGACCAAGCGUAGAGAACGAUUCGGGAUCCUUGACAAAAUGAAAUGAUUUUUUAAGCAUAAAGAAAGGUUUAUGCGAAAUGAAAUAAUUUUUCGGUAUAUUUAAAUGAUUUGAUAUUAUUUUUACAAAAUGAUUAUGAAAAGGUAUUUAUUGUGAAAGGUUUUCAUAAAACCUUAAAGGAUUUUUAAAAAAAAGUGGACCAUUCAACUUAGUUCCCAUCCACUAUCCUUUUCUCCAACAUGAAACUUUAUCUUAGUAAAACUUCUUGAUCCACUAUUUUACAAAAAUAUUCAAAACAAUACCAUACUACACCAAAUGUGAUAUUUUGGUAACACUUAAAAUGGUCAGAAAUACCAUUUUCCUGACUUUUUUUUCGUCGAUCAUUAAAGAAAAAGUAUAGAUGAUGUUUCACAAAAACUUCCAAACCAUUGUGUUAGUUAUCGUUUUGGAUGAGGGUUGGGGUAGAGCAUCAAUACUCAAAGGUUGUUAAGAAUUAAGAACUAAGACUUGAAGACGAAACCGCCUGCCUGGUUGACAACAACACCAUCCCACUAGAGUGCACAAUGAUGAUUUAUUGCAUUAAGAAGAAGAUGGUAGUUAACCUUAGUGCCAUAAUAAGAACCUCAAUCCUCCCUUUGAUGAAAGCACCUAAAGGUGUCAUGCCUUUCCCCUCGACCACAUUGAAGCUCUCUGUCUAACACUACAAGAAACGAGGGCUCUCUCGAUGCAUAAAAUCAUUGAGAGAUAUAUAAAAAGCGUCAGAAAAGGCUUUUCUGACGCAUAAAUAUACGUCGGAACACAAGUCAGGAAAAAUUUAUCGGGAGUGCGUCGAGAGUUUCUAGAGUUAGUAGAUAGGUUGUUGAGGAAAAAUUUAUUGUGAUGGUCAUGGAGGUGCUUUCUCGCAUGUUGAAUAGCCCGCCUCAAAAUUUUCAAUUCCACCAGUUUUGUGAGAAGGUCAGAUUAACUCAUCUUACUUUUGCAGAUGACCUGAUGAUCUUUUGUGCUGCUGAUAAUCAUUCUAUGAGUUUCAUAAAAGAGACUAUUAAGAGGUUUGGUGAGCUUUCGAGACUGUUUGCUAAUCUUGCUAAAAGCUCAAUUUUUCUUGUGGGGGUUAAUAGUUUGGAAGCUUCUCGGCUUGCUGCUAACAUGGAUUUUUCCAUUGGUCAUCUCCAUGUUCGUUAUCUUGGGCUUCCUCUCCUCUCUGGAAGAUUUCGGAGCUCCCCUUAUUCAGCGUAUUACGAGUCGUAUUCGGUCUUGGUCUGCUAGAGUGUUAUCUUUUGCAGGUAGACUUCAGCUUGUUCGCUCAGUCCUUAGGAGCCUUCAGGUUUAUUGGGCUAGUGUGUUCAUGCUUCCUAUGAAAGUCCACAGAGACGUUGAUAAGAGCUUGAGGGCUUAUCUGUGGAGAGGUAAGGAGGAGGGAAGAGGUGGUGCUAAAGUUGUCUGGGAUGAGGUUUGUCUUCCUUUUGAUGAAGGAGGUCUUGCUAUUCGCGAUGGAUCUUCUUGGAAUAUAGCAAGCACGUUGAAGAUAUUGUGGUUGCUACUUGUUAAAUCUGGUAGUUGUGGGUUGCUUGGGUGGAAUCAUAUAUCCUUAAAGGGAGAUCGCUGUGGGAGAUCGAUGCUGGGGUGGGUCGAUCUUAGUACUUUAGGGCAAUCUUGCAUAAGUGGGAUAUCCUUAAAGCUCAUGUUAAGAUGGAGGUGGGCAAUGGAAGGAAGUGUAGAGUGUGGUUGGAUCCAUGGAUUCAGGGUGGGCCGAUUAUCCAGCAGUUUGGGGAGAGGGUGAACUAUGAUGCGGGUAGUCGGCGGGAUGCGUGUUGGAAUUUUUUGUCCUAAAACUCGUAGUUUGUAAUCAUAUUCUGUUUCAAUAAAGUUGUUAUUGAGAAAUUAAAUAUUAUAAUCCUAAAUCCAAUAAAUCAAGUUCCAAGGCUAUUUUUUGAAUAAACUUGAACUUUAUGUGUAAACAUAAACGUGGAUCAAGUUCGAGUAUAUAUAGCCUAAAUAGUCUAUAGUAUAUGAAUUAAGGUUGGGCGCCUUAUUUAGAGAAACUAUGGAUGCGGCCCACUUUGUAGUACAAACGAGGUGAUCCUGAAUCGUUCAUGUAGAGACAUGAAAGUGGAGGCAUCCUAUGUAAAGUGUUUACAUAAGACUGAACCAUGAAUUAGUCUUUUUUUUAAGUUAUAACACUGUUUACUGUUUAAAACUGAUUAUCUCGAUUAUUGAUGACCUAGGUAACUUAAUCUUAAUCCUGAGUUAACUAUGAACUCCUGUUCACACGAGAUUAUCCUCAGAUCUGCAUAGGUGAGGGCAGCCCAUCAGCGUUGGCCCAAUAAGCCUCCCAUUUCAGGGGUAAGAUCGGGUGGAUAGUUGAGAGCAUAGGGUACAAGGUGGAAUUCACUCCUGCCCGCUUUAGGGUUAGUAGAUAGGUUGUUCUCUUAAGCACUGAAUCCAAGUCUUGAACAAGGGGCCCACCCUCUCAUUGGCCCGAGAGGGAUUAAGUUUAUAGGUUGAACCUUAAACCAAUUGUUCAAUAGUGGAUUAGUGGGACUUAAGGAGCAAGAUGUAAUCUUGGGGGUAAAACGGUAUUUUGACCCAGCCAAGGUUACGAGCAACCUGUGAAGGAUUAACUUACUGAUUAUGGUUUUAUCAAAUGGACACAAAUAUAUCUAUAGUGAGGGGAGUGUAACUACGAGACUUUAGUGGAAUGACCCGUUAGUUAACGAAUGUUGAUUAACUCGGUCUAAAAGAGUUUAGCUAGUUAAUCUUGAAUCGUUGGAGUCCAUGAUCUAUAGGUUCAUUAGGUUCCCCUGCUAGCUCAUAUGGAUUAAACUUAGAACAGUGUGAUGAAAUAAGUCGAAUUGUUCGAAUUGGGAGAAGAAAGAGAAACCGACAAAUAUAGUGAUAUAGUCGUCGGUCUUCUAAUUAGAAAUAGAGCUUUAUGUUUUACAUACUAUAAGUAUGAAUCCGGAUUCAUACUAAGAAGCUCGGAAUUGAUGGAAUUGGUCAAAAAUAGUAAAAAGUCAAAAUGUUGACUUUUGACUUUGAAAAGUCAAACUUUGACCGGCCUUAUAUUCAAAUGUGAUUUGAAUUUUGGAAAAAUGAAUGCGGAUUCAUGCUCGGGAGGUUGGAAUUAGUCAAGACGGACAAAAUGGUAAAAAGUCAAAAUAUUGACUUUUGACUAAGAAAAGUCAAAGUAUGACUUUUGACUUGAAAUAUCUAAUGACCAUUUUACCCUUGGACUAAGUUAGUGGAAAAAUCCAACAUUUUGUUGGAUAAUCCCACUAACUCUUAGUGGGAUAUGUGGCUAUAUGAGAUGUAGACACCUAGCCCACUAAGUUCCACUAAUAGUUAGUGGAACAUUAGGUGUUGAGAUUUGGCAAAUUAAUUACAUGCAUUUUUGCAUGUAAUUAGGUUAUAAAUAGGGGAAUUUUCAAAUGGUUGAAGACUUUUGCCUUUUUUAUUAUCCUCCAACAUCUCAACAAAAGAAAAAAAUUCUCUACCAUCCAAUCCCAUUUUAUCUCCAUUUCUUUCUACACCAAAUUGGGUCCCACAACCCAGUUCUUUGUCCAAGAGGAUAGUAGUUGAGUACUAGUGGUGGUCUCGGUUUGAAUUGACAAGAAGGUAUCAAAGUUUUUUGAAAGCUUCAAAGGCAAUAUUUCCUAAAACCCUAACUUGAUUAGUUUAGGGUUACAUGUUAAUUGUGGCAAUUAGGGUAGAAAUUCGAUUCCUUUUUCCGCUGUGCAUGUCUUAGUUCUAUCAAUGCGAGGCUGGUGGAUUUCAUGGGUCAGGAUGGUGAUUGGAGGUGGCCGUUUGUUUCUUUGGAUUUGAUGGACAUUUGGGAUAGGAUUCAGGGAGUGAGGCCGAGUCCGAGUGUUGAGGAUAGGUGGGUUUGGGUGCUGGGGAGUCAUGAUAGUUUUUCGGUCGCCAGUGCGUGGGAGACUAUUCGUCCUCAUAAUAGUAGGGUUGGCUGGUCGAGUUUACUAUGGGGUGGGGAAAUAUUCCUAAGCACUCCUUCUGUGCUUGGUUGGCCAUCAGGGAUAGGUUGGGUACUAGAGAUAGGUUAAGUCGGUGGGAUAGGUCGAUUCCUUUAUCGUGUUUGCUUUGUGGAGGGAACUAUGAGUCUCGUGAUCAUUUGUUUUUUUCUUGUCAUUUUGGGUGGGAGAUUUGGUCGAGGAUCCUUUUGCUUAUGUCAUCUUCUCAAAGAAUUGGUUAUUGGGGGUUGAGUUAUCUUGGAUUUGUAAUCAGGGUAUUGGGAAGAGUGUGAGGAGAAAACUGUGGCACCUUCUCUGGUGUGCUACAAUUUAUUUCAUUUGGCAGGAGCGAAAUCAUCGUCUUCAUGGAGGUGCUGUUCGAGAGCCUAUGGUUGUAUUCCAGCUGAUUCGGUCGUGUAUUAAAGUGUGUGCUGCUUCUUGGUCCGAUGGUGUUCAUGGUCUUAUUUAAUGUUCUUUUCGUUUACUUGUCCCCGGGCUGUGGGGUUUCUCUUCUCUUUAUUAUCUCUGUUGUCUUUCUCUCUUCUUCUUGUCCUUUUAAUGUUUGGAACACUAGUUGGUUUCUUUUGGUUUUAGUUCUUGUCCCCGAGAUGUGGGGUUGUUUUGGGUACUUAUGGGUUGUUUUGUCUAACUACUUGUUCUGUGAGUGUUGUUCGCUCUUGUGCCUUGACCUCAGGCUGUGAGGUCCACCUUGUUGUUGUAUAAUAUUAUCAUUACCUUUAAAAAAAAAAAAUCAAACUCAAUGCUAAGUUUGACUGCUUCCUUCGAAGUGACAACAAGCCUCGUUUUCGCCCUACUGUGGAUCGAGGAGGAUUCCUCCUCUUUUCAAAGCCCUCAAUCAAACUUGACGUUAUGUUUAAAACACUAAAAAUAGAUGGUCGAGUUUUGGUUAGGCCAAAAGCGAUGUUUUCCCCCAAAAGCUCUAAUAGCUAGGGAACUCAACAUGUUCUACUUAACCUAACCGACUUGACUCUGUAUUUUUUAUGAGCUUUUUUAAUGCAUAUUGCAUGUGUUUUUUUUUUUAUAAUUGUUGAUUGUAAAGUGGUCUGCAUUUACGAGCCUCUUUUCUUUCUUUGUUAUGAAAUGCGGUAACUAGGCGUUGCUAGAACCGAUGGGGUAACAUUUCUAUGGUUCUACACUUAGUUUCUAAGUGUGAUUGCUCACCUCUAAUUUUCAAAACACUUAAUUUCUAAGCACAUACAAUGUUCACCUAGAAAAAAAUGAAAAUUGUUGUAGUUAAGAUCAAAACUAAAUAGUUAUGAAAUAAGACAUAAGAGAUUCGAUUUUAACAACCUUCCCGUUGUACUUGGGAUCCACUCUGGCUUUGUGCUGGAAAAUUGGUUUAGAGCUGAUCAUAAGCUUUCAGUUGCUCUUCUGUAACCUUUAGAUACUCUUCAAAGCUAUAAGCUUUGCUUCUUGACAAAGAAUCUUCUACUAUUAAUACAUAAGAAAAUUCUAUUUCAUAAACCCUGUAUCAUAAUUGAGGCUGUAGAAUGAUUAUUCUAUAACCCUACCGAUAGUUUCAUUCUUAACAUUCAUAGACACGAUGCAUGGCAGCUAUCCAAUUCUAUUUCAUGUUCUCGAGAAUGGCUCGGUUUAACAAUAAUGUUAAUUUUUGUUUUCUAUUUUAAAAUAAUAACGCUGCUUACUAAUCUUUUUUUUUUCCAUUUGGCAUUCUACUUUUUCUACUCAGCUUUCUUUCCCUAGUGAUAACAAAUAAUACGGGUGAUAAAAAACUUAAUCACUCACUUGGUUCAGCCACCGAAAGCCCUUCUGCUUUAGAAAUAGAAGAUGGGUUUGAGUAGGUAGAUUUACUUGCAUUGUAUGUGCUGUUCAUUGAACUCUCAAUUUCAUUGAGACCAAUUUCUCACUCAAACAUGGUCUUGCAUUCUCUAGAAACGUCCUACAAACAAAAAUGAAGAACAAAAAACUACAAUAAGGUCUAUGAAAAAGUUAUAAAGGAAAAUCUCAAAAACUGAUAUGUAAGUCAUAACAACCUUAAGUUCUCUUAUCGUGGGUUAAAAUGCACGUAAGGUUUUUCCAAGAGUCCGAGCAACCAGCAUGUAAAUAUGAGGAAGUUAAGUCAACUAAAUUUGUUUCUAUAAAUUUACUCGUAUUAACAUUAUCAUUGUUAUAGACUUGACAACUUCAAAUUUAUCAAUAUAAAAUAUGCUUUAACAAAACGUACCUUGAGGUUCCUCCAACCUUAUUAAAAAAGAAAAUAAUCCAACAAUUUAACAAAUUUAUAGUGCAUAUUAUGUAUAUCAAUUGAUCACAACAAAAUAAGAUCGAACAAAUACCCAUGAGUAAUAUUUAGCCACCAAAUGAAUAAUGAUGAAAACCUGAAAACAAAACCGAGAAAAAAAAAGGAAACAAUUCAUCAACAAAACAAAUUUAGGGGACUAAAAAAUUGCUUACCUUAUUACACACUUCAAAAUAUUAAGAAAAGUGGAGGGAAAAAACCAACCAAUAAUCAAAAAAUAAACUUCAACACAAAUAGCCAUAAAUUUUCUUCUUUAAAGGUAUCACAAAUAAGUCCAUCAGUAAUAACAAAAUAAAAAAGGGCAAUGUGCAAUUGAAUUCUGCAGUCGUAAAGCUAUGCUAAAGGCAGUAUGAAAUCAAACUUGAGCACUAACAAGAAAAUUUGCAAAACAAAAAUUACUAGACAUCAUUAACUAAAGUACCAGCACAACAAUGAAUGUGUAACCUCCGCAAGAGCAAACCCGAAUGGAGAAGAACAUGAAGAAAUAUAUAAAUAGAAGAAACAUAAAAGACAAACAUGAAACACAUGGAAACAUACAAAGGGGAUAAAUAAAAGUACAAUUAUGAAGUGAUGAAGCACAAAUACAGGUACCAACAGAACUAGAAUACAAGUCUUACCCUAUCUCGACUGUCGAGGAGUGUUAACCAACCGUCAGAAGGUUGGUUUUAUUUUUUAGAAAAAAUUAAUGUUGUCUGAAUUCUUUUUCAAGCCACUAACCAGCCCCUCCUUAUCUAUGAUCGGCGAUCAACUCCUCAACCUCUAAUUACAUUUAAAAGAGUGAUGCGAACAUUGUGUGAAAUCCCAAACCUUUGAUGGAUCCCACCAUCACUCUCUUUCUAUCCCCUUCAAAACCUCAUUAUUUUCAAGAGAGGCCUCAAAGCUUCUUCCAAUUAACAUAAAAGAAGAAUGAAAGAGAAGGAGAGAAAGGGAAAGUGGUUCAAAAGCUAUGGAAAAAAAAGUAAAAGAACAUGGUCUACUCAUUGGCACAUCUUACACAGAUGAUAAUGUUAGGGCAAGGCAAUGAGAGACAGAAUGCUUUUGGAGCCUUCUCCUCUACUUUCGAAGAUUUUAAUAAACUAAAAUAUGCAAAUGUUACAAGAAAGAUCUUUGGAGAUUUGAAAUAAUCCAAAAUAAAGAAAAAGGAAAACCCCAAUAUGUACAAAUUUCAGAAUCUAAAACUUGAAAAGUGAUUGAAUGAUGAGAUAUGUUUGUACAAUCAAUUAUAGAGACAGUGAAAUAUUAAAAAAAAAUGAAACGUACCAAGAUAAAAAGAAUAGCAACUAGUAUUAUGACCUUUGUAUGUCUUCAAAAUACAAACAUCAAAAUGAAUCAAGAGAUCUACCACACAAAUAAUGGUAUCAACACAAAUAAAGCAAUUGUUUUAUUGAAAAUAUUUGAGUACAAUUAAACUAAGCAUGCUAUUGUCCUUGACAAAUUUACAUUCUUCUAAUCGAACAAAAUCUGACCUUUAAAUAGUGAUAGAAACUGAAGAUGAAAGCAAGUUCAGCUACAACUUCAGACCGUGAUAUAUAUGGCAGAACCUAUAAAAAAAAGAAGAAUACCUAACUAUAUAUACACAGAGGAGAUCUGACGCUUACUAGCACAUCGGAGGCUCAAUCGAUUUAUAUUUAAUUGAAAGACAAUACCUAUAUUUUAAUGCAUACACAUUGAAUAGCCCCUGUUUCAAUCCAAUUUACAAAACUACCUCCAUAAAAUUACAUAAUGGGGGAAGUUCGACCGGAUGCACUGUGCUUUACCAGAACCACAUGAAAUUAUUAGAACAUAGUUCAUUCAAGUAACUUUCUAUUCAAUAAUUGAAACAAAUGGAAAGAGGACAAUUGAAUAUUAAAUAAAGAUGGAAUUAAUUGGGAACUCACGGAGUAAUGCGAUUCGUUCGGGGCUCACCGCUGGAGUUGAAAGAGAGACAAGGAUUAGAAAGGAAAGGAAGAGGAGCGUCUGAUAAUCCAGCGGAUUCUUUGAUGAGUGGAGUAGUAGUAGUAGUAGUGGAGGUUCCAAGGACAUUGAAGUCAAUCCGGUGAGAGUGACGGAAUCCAGAAGGUUGAGGUUGAAGAGAGUAGAAAUUGCAACCAAAAUCGGUGAGGAUAGUGGAUUCGAAAUUGCGAGGGAAGAAGAAAAGAGCAUCACAAGUCGAAGUAGAGGAGGAAUCAACACUGGUUAAACUGGUUUUGGUUGUACGAACAAAGAAGAAUUAGGGUUUGAGAAGAGAAAGGGAAAAUGGAGUGUACGAACAAAGAAGAAGAAGAAGAAAUGGAAAGGACGCGCUAAGAGAAGAAGAUGGAGAGUGAUGGGUGAAAUGGGUAUGAUAGGGUUUCGAAAAUGGAGUGUACGAAGAAAUGGAAAGGACGCACUGAGAGAAGAAGAUGGAGAUUGGAUCCGCGACUGAGAGAAGAAGAUGGAGAUUGGAUCCGCGACUGAGAGAAGAAGAUGGAGAUUGGAUCCGCGACUAAGAGAAGAAGAUGGAGAUUGGAUGCGCGACUAAGAGAAGAAGAUGGGGAUUGGAUCCGCGACUAAGAGAAGAAGAUGGAGAUGGAUCCGCAAAAUGGGUAUGAUAGGGUUUCUUCCUUACAGAAACGGAAAUUGAGAGAUAGGCCAAAGAAGACAAGAGAGCAAGAGAGAAGGGGGGAGGAGAGGGAGACUUGGCGGUUAGAGAAGAGGGGAAAGAAAUUUGAAAUGAGAGAGACUCUACAUGUAGGGUUUUUAUUAUAAUUUUUUUUUUUUUUGAAAUUUUGCUUAAUUGGAUCUAGAGAAUUUUGCGUAUCCGGUUCACCGACUCAUAUUAGCCGUCCAUUCGUCCAUUGUUUUGUCAUUUUUUUUCAACAAACUAAAUGUUUUAAGCCAUUUGCAAAUUAGAUUUUGAUAAAUCGAUAAUCAUAUUUUUUUACAAUAUAGGACUAAAAAAACUAAUUUAAUAUAUAUAUAUAUAUAUAUAUAUAUAUAUAUAUAUAUACAUAGAACAGUAUUUAGUUAAAUUACAAAAAAAAAGAAAAAUUCUUUUGAAUUUUGUAGUUUGUGUAAAAAAUUAACCUUAAACUUUGAAAAGUUAAAAAAAAAUUGUUUUGAACUUUUAAAAAUUAUUCAUAAAUACAUCUACAUACGUAAGAUGAAGGUAUUGGCAUGCUUCUCUAAAAAAAACUUUCCAAAAAGAUGUCGUGUGACUUUUGAAAAGAAAAAUUACAAACGCGGUCGUUUUUAAACAAACUAGAUAUAUCAAGUUUUUUUUUUUUUUUUUUUUUGAGGUGAGGGAAUCAACCUUUCUUCUUCUUUUUAAUCCCUUUUACUUUUAGUUUAUUUCUUUAUUUUUUUUCCUUUUUUCACAAUUUUGUCAUAUUCGUAAUAUGCACAAAAUAUGUGUCAUGAACUUUUUUUUUUUUUUUUUUGUCAUUUGAUGCAAUUAGUCUUUUUCUUUUAAUGUUUUAAUUUCUUUAUAUUAUUCGUACUUCUCAACCAAAUUUAUUUUAAUUUUAAAAAUCCUAAUUUUAGAACUAGAGUCAGUUUCGAAUACAUCAUUUAAAAAUGAGUCAUUUUGACAAAGUUAGACUUAAACAUGCUAAGUAAGCUAUUCACCACCCCCACUUAAAAGCUAAGCACAUAUUCAUCAAUUAUAUCACAAAUAUAUCCACAAACCCGAACUCAAUGCUCAAGGGUUGACAAUCACGCUUUUUAUACAAGAUCUAAGUAAGCUAAGAAGCUAUAAUGCUCAUUAUUUUAAGAAAAAAAAUUUUAAAAGUUUUUAAAUUUGGGCAAAAUUUGAAAUCCCCUCAAGUUUAGAUUAAACGUGCAAGCUAAGUAAGCUAUUACCCCCACUUAAAAACAUGUUUUGUCCUCAAAACUUUUGAAAAUCAAAGUAAAGGAAAGAAAAGUAAGGGGGAACAUUGGACUCCCCUAGAAGGAUUAACAUCCUUGACUUUGGUUUGAAGUUUGCAUGGAUAAGGCUCUCCAUUCCUUUUUCAGUGAUUUGUAUUAAUAAAAUGAAUUUGUAUAUAUAUAUGAAUGAACACAAGUUUUCCUUAUUUGAACCCAAGUGCAAAUCCAAAUAAGGUUUCUUGGUGAGUCUAGAGUCGAACGUGAGGACUUAUACUAAAAAUAUAUUUGUAUUUUAAAAUGAUCUUAAGGUGAUUAAUAACAUACGCAACUUCAUCCACCUGCAAGGGGGGAGGGGAGUCAUCCACUAUAGAUAAGCUCCACUUGUCUCCCUCACCCAACUUCAUAAGGCUGCCAAAAGAGUUAGGCAUAAUCACAUCCACAUGUUUACCCUUCUUUCGAACAUAAACCAACUCUCUUUUCUUCCUAAUAACGAGUAAUUUCAUCUCGAUUACCUACCUUCUUUUCCUUAAUAUGCCUAAUGGGGGAGCUAUUAGUCUUACUUUCCUCCAACUGUUUAAAGUCUAACACCACAUUCAUAAGACACAAUUGUCAGUUCCUCCUCUUUGUUUGAAACCACCUUGCUCACAUCCUCCUCUUGAUGAACUUUGUUUUCCACAAUCUUAGGACACUUACCACUAGAAUGCCCAAAAGACCGGCAUAAAUUACACUUUCGAGGCUUCCACUCGUAAUUCACAGUCAUAACGAAAUCCUCUCCCCUAAGUUGAAUUGUAAAUUCAGCAGCCAUAGGAGAGUCCACAUUUGAUUCAACACAUACUCAAGCAUGUGACAACCUUCUCUUAUCGAAUUUUAUGUUGUUGUUGAAUUUAAAGAAAUCAAAUGAUUAUAAAUCAACUUUUAAAAAAUUAAAAAUUUGUUUCUAGACAUCCAUAUUCUUACCGAUUAAAAUUCAACUUACAUAUUCUCUUUUUUACUUAAUAUCUAAAAUUUACAUAUACUUUAAAAUUUAUUUCUUGUCUUUUCAUUUUUUUUCUCAUAUUUCAUUUUUCAAGAUUUAAAUAGUUUUUUUGUUUUAUCUGUACUUUUUUGAUAGGUUAUGAGUUAUGAGUUAUGAGCUUAUAGUUUAGCAUUGUUAGGUCGUUUUGAAAAUUCAAGUGAUACUCCAAGGUUAUUCUUGGAAUAUUCUUUUACAUUAUAUUUGUUAAAUCACUAUUUAAUUUAUUAAGAGCUUGAUAAAUAACCACUAAACUAAAACCAUAGAGGAUAAUUGAUAGACCACUAGUACAUGUUCUAUCACUAACUAACAGACGGUAAAACUUUGUUAUAUUUGUGAAUAUCUUCAGCAAUUUUAUCAUUUAAGACAAUUUUUCGUAUAAUAUCGACAUGAACAUCGUAAGAAAACUCAAAUUAAGUAAGUUAAAUUAAAAAAAAAUUGUAUGAAUGUUUCGAGAACCAUUAAUUAUAAAUUCAACAUUUUUGAAUGAAAAAUUGGAUUGGUUUGUGGUGACGGCUAACAUGCAUGUCUAACAAUUAUUUUCAAUUUCUAAUACUUUCAUCCAUUGCCAAAGUUGGAAACUAAUGUUUUUAUCUUAUUAAAUGAAAUUUCACAUUUCUUGAAAAUUUUGGAUUAUAAUUAUUUGAAAAACAAAAAUAUAUAUUUUUUGCUUUAUCGUUACUGAAAAUUUUAUCUCGUAAAAUUUGAUUUUUUUAGUCUAAAUUUUAAAAACAAAAUAUUUGUUUUAGUUAUAAAGAAAUUGUUUUGGGUUUUAAAUGGGUUUUAUCACAAAUAAUUCAAAUAUAUUUUAAUCCCUCAUCUCCCCUUCUCUCUCACUCACGUUUCAAAUUUCUUCCCCUACUUCUUCUCUAACGGCUCUCUCUCUCUCUCUACUUUCUCGUCCUCUCCCUUCUCUUAUCUUCUUCGUCUUCCUCAAAAUCGCCCUAACAGCGUCGGAUUUCUCAACUGUCGAUCGAGUGACAAUCAUGCCUGCCUGCUUGACAAAGCCUUUUCGGUCUACCAAUAAAGGAAAAACGAUUGCUGGUGACACGAAAGCUGUGCUCAACGCUCUUUUUCCUAUUCCACUGCGCGUCGUGGUCUUUCCCUUGCUGGUUGGAUGACUACUAUGGACGAAGAGCACAACUACUUCCAGUCUCUGAUCGAUAAGUACCCAAGGAAGGUAAAUUCCAGCGGAGAAAGUCGAGAGCUCCUUAGUUGAUCACAAAUCCUUCCAAAUUCUUUGUUCGUAGACUAAUUUGAAAUCCUUCCAAAUUCUUUGUUCGUAGACUAAUUUGAAAUCCUUCCAAAUUCUUUGUUCGUAGACUAAUUUGAAAUCCUUCCAAUAUGGAUCCAUGCUGUCUUUUAUAUCCAUAAGAUACCAAUUAGAUUGUGUUAAUUAUUGUUUAUAAGAAAAUAUUUGUGUGCAGAGUUGCAGUGGGUAAAUCUUAAUGGCUGGCAGAAAAUUGGUUCGGGAUAUAUUACUCUCAACACAAAGUAUUUUUUAUCAGUUUACUUCCCAUCGGGUAUUUGCUCUUCCUAUGCUUUAUCCUUAUCCCAUCUUUCUCCGCUCUAGUCUUCAUAGGAUGGAUUUCUGUGGUGUAAAUUUAUUCAUCUACUUUGUUUGAUUUAUGGUUGCAUUUAGGGAGAAGGUAAAUUACAUAAGCCAAAGUAGUUAUGGAAAACAUCUCCAAUUUACAGCAAGUUAAAGAAAAAAAAGAAAGAGAAAAACAGCAGUUCAAAAAAACUGGGCAUCUUGCUUCUUUCUUAUUGAAAGUUCUGCCGUUCCUUUCAAGUCAAAUUGACCACAAAAUGCUCAAAUGAGAUUCUUCAAU
rnacentral:lncRNA from 1 species